AGUAUACUAAAUAUGUGAAACUCCAGAUAGUCCUAUAUAUAAAAUAUAAUAGGGCUCAAACUCUUAACCCGGCUUAAGCACUUUGCGCGGUGGUUAGGUCCAAGAGGUUAAGAAAGUUAAGCGUACUAGGACGGGAUAGUCCUAGGAUGGGUGACCCCUUGGGAAGUCGAAGCAUCAUAGUUGGUAUCAAAGCUAAUUAUCAGCCGGAAAUAUGAGAUGAGUCUUGACUGAGCCAUGUUAUAUAGCAGAAAGAGCGAGGCUCUGAUAUUGUUGACUGUUGUGGGUGGAGCGUAACUCAUCAUAAGAUCAAUUUAGGCUAGCGAGACGAAUCUCACAUCGUCUGGUAUUUGUAAGUCUGAGCCUGACGAGGACGUCACGGCUAAAACUCUUAACCCGCCUUAAACACUUUGGGCAGUGGCUAGGUCCAAGAGGUUAAGAAAGUUAAGCGUGCUAGGACGGGAGUAAUCCUAAAAUAGGUGACCCUCUAAGAAGUUGGCGUGUCACAAAAUAAGCCUGUAAGAUAAACGACUAAUUUAAAUUUUGAAGUCGCAGUAUCGUUGACUGACUGAAAUCAAACAAAUUAAAAGCUUAAAUAUUAAAAUCAAAAUUUUAAAAGAUUGGAUGGUCAAAUUAAAAUGGUCAAUGGCUCAAGCAAGUUCUACAAAUUUUAUCUAUUGAAAAAUCAUAAAAUCUGAUUCAUAAAAAGCUCGUAUCUUAGAUUGUAUUUAAUGGUGCCAAUUCUCAAUUGAAGUGCCUUAUUACUUAAAUGACAUGGAAGUAAACAUCCUUAUUUACUUAAAAAUUAUUCUUGAUUUAUUCUAACUACUCAACCAUGGAUCCAUUGUUGUAAAUUCCACAUACAUGUAAAACCUAAUGAAUUAAACUAUCCUAAAAAAAUAUAAAAGGAGACGAAUAAUGCAAUAUCCUAAUUUCUACUCAAAGUUACACUACAAAGGCUGUUAAGAAUAUGCCUUCUUUUGAACCUGGGUUGAGUCAAAUUAAUUAACCCAUUAAGUUGGUUCAUAAAAUAUAUCAAUUGGUUUUGAAAUUGAUUCUCAUUGGUGAAAGAUACGUGCUUAUCUAUAUAAGAUUGAACUAUAUCUUUACCUCGGAAGGAUAAAGAUACAUUAGGAUUGCACAAAUUAGAAGCAGAGUCGGUUUAUGCUUCUCAAGCCGAGUCCAAUUGAUACCUGUUGACUUAUUGACCGGGCUAAUGCAUUAUAUAUAUAUAUAUAUACAUGCAUUGUGAGCCGGAUUGUGGAGUGGCCUAAAUUAAUUAAGUCUUGAAGCCGUACGGGAGUGCUUCAAGGUUUCCGCAUGCAUGUGCCGAAGUCGGCGGAGGAGCGGCGGUUCUCAACCAAUUGCCUGAGCGGUUCGUAUUCUUCGAAGCAACGGCAUAAAGGAAUUUGGUUAGAAUUUCUAUACUUCUCAAAUUUAGUCUUCUCGGUUUUACGAAAAGCUUUUUUUGGUAUUUUCUUGGAGUUUUCGUUGGAACAAGAAAGGUGGGAUUCACCAUAAGGUUCUUGGUUUUUUAUCCGGAGAAGACAUAAGGUGUAAGCUUGUACUUCUAUUUCUUCAUAUAGUGGAAUACAUCUCUCUCGCUCUCCCCGUGGACGUAGGCAAUUGCCGAACCACGUAAAUCUUGGUUUCUUCUUUNAUCUCUCUUGCUCUCUCCGUGGACGUAAGCAAUUGCCGAACCACGUAAAUCUUGGUUUCUUCUUUCUGCAUUUAUUUCUUUUACCGUUCGUUCGGUGUUUUCUUUAUUUUUCGUGCAUCUUUGUUGGUAGCACAUGACGGACGAUCCAUCCGGUUCCCAACAAAGGCUUGCACUCUGUUUAGGAUUGUGAGAAGAUUGAGUUAAGCACGAUAAAAAAAUACAAUAGAAAAAAAUAUAUUAUAUUUAGUUUUGUACAUAAUGUAGCAUAUGGGAACAAGUCAGUUAAAUAUAAUUUUCGUGAUCUCAUAGAAAAAGCGAAAAAAUAUAUUAUUAUAUAUUUUUGCCACAACUCUUGUCCAAUAAUAGUAAAUAAAUGACCCUCAAUACUAAACAAUCCAUCCUUACAAACAUGACUUUAACUUUUUCGAGUUUUGGCUGGUGAGCAUGUAUACCUUUUAUUUUGGUGACGAAACCACUUGAACUUUAUUAAAUAUUUAAGCUAUGAUGUUGCAAAACUGUAGAAUACAUUAAAAUAUGCCUUUCCUUUUCCAACGCUUGAAAAGAGCUAUAAAAAUUGAAGAUCUAUUCAGUUUAUUCUUCAAUUGUCACACUUAUUUCUAUCUAUAAAAAGAGAAAAAAAAAAGUCAAUUAUUAUUAUUACUAUAUAUAUUUUUGAAGCUUUAUAAGAUUACGUAUAAGAUAUGCUAUCAAAAAGACCGCGUACUUAGAAAAUUCACUUAAGUAAAAAGAUCAGUUGAACUAUUUAGUAAAGUUUAGAAAGUUUAGUGGGUCGUUUGGUAAAUAUCUAAAAUUUAGCAGGUGAUUGUACAUUUAUCCUUUUGAAAAUAAAUAUAAAAAAUGCAAAAACUUAAUGAAAAGAUGGACAAGUUUGGUUGGGCUAAUGAAACUAUUUGGUAAAGUUUAAGAAGCUUAGUUAGCACAAAUUAAAAGGUUAGGGGGUUAUUUGACCACGAAAUCUACUUUAGGGGGUGUUUAUGCAUUUAUCCCUUUGAAAAUAAAACUUAAAAAAAAAAUAGAAAAGUUGAAAAAGACUACUGCGCACUGAACACGGCCUGUUCCCUCCAUUUCAAAAACAGUGAUAUGAUAAAAAUGCAAAUAUAGUCCUUGUACUAUUCUGAUUUGCAUAUUGACCCUUGUCCUUUAUAUUUAAACAUUUUAAAUUUUUUUUUUUCAACACCUCACCCUUAAAUUUCUCAUCAUAAAAAAAUUAUUAUUUUUUAUUUUAGUUUCUGAAAGAAUUUAUAGUUUACUUAAACUUAGAUUACUCUAAUACAAUAAUCCAAUCAUUAAGAACUUUAAUUUCAUCAUCUUCUAAUUAACACUUAACACGUUAUUAAUUCAACUGUUCCGAGUUUGAGUAGAAAAUAUUAUAACUCAGUGGAAAAAGUUGAUUUAACAAUCAAAUAAAAAUAGACGUGAAGCAUGAACGUGCAAAUACAUUGGAUGUAAGUAAUAGUUUCAUAAAGCUACUAAAUUAUUCAACUUAAAGGAAUUGAAAGGCUAAAGAGUAAAAUUAAAAUUUUCAAACAACGCGUGUAUUUUUAUCUGCCUUUAACAUACAAGGACUCGAUUGGGUCUGAUAUACAUAAAAGAUUAUGAGUUAGCUUUUUGUGCUAUAGAAUCAUGGGACAUCUGAAUCGACGAUUGUUACUAUUAAGUAUAAUAUAAAAUAUUUGAACAUUUGAUCAAGUGGCCACAAAUUUAUUAUCUUAACUUCCUACAUAAGAAAUUUUCUUGUUUAACAAUUUAGAAUAUCUAGAAUCUUGUUCUUGAGCUCAAUAAUUCUAUUAUCUAUUUUUACAAAAAUUUUAGAUGUGAUUGCUUGAUGAAAUAGAAACAUUUCUAAAAAAUGAUAAAGCUUGAUUCCUAGAAGCGUCAGACGUUAUUAAACCAUAUUUAAUAACAUUGAUCGUGAAUUCAGAUGCUCUAUUAUCGAAAUAUGAUUUUAUAAGAAUUUGAUACUAUUUAGCAACUGGCCUCAAUGCAAUGAUUAGAUAGUACUAUCAAAAUCAUUUAAAAGCAAAUGAGAAACAUUACUUUUAUGUUAAUUCGGGUAAUGAUUACGAGUCAUGUGAAUCAACAGUCGACACUAUUAAGCAUGAUUCACAUUAUUUAAUUUUUUUAGAUUUCAUAUUUGAUGAUUUUUAAAUAUUAUUUAUCUAAUAUCUAAUUAGCUUCAAAAUUGAUAAUUUUUAAUAGCUAAUAUAAGAUAAACUUGAGUUCACUCGAUCACUAAGAAAAUAAAAUUUUUAAAAUUGUAAAAAUCAAACCAUACAAUAUUUAAAUAGCUUAGAUUACGUUUAAUCGCGAUGAUCAUUAAUUUAAAUAUUCUAUCACCAGACAUGAUGCAGAAGUUUUCGGUGAGAAAUGCGUAUAGUAAUAUUCUAGCUCUACACUCUAUUGUGUGUUCUUGUCAGGGAUUGGAAUGCAAAAUAUGUUUUAACUCGGGCAUAGGUGAAAAAUUACAAGAACCCUUUUACAAUAUACGUUUAGUACAGGGACUAGUACUAAAUUUUCCCCAACACUGAAACAGCGGUCUCAAACCUCUUCUUCUUCAUCCUCUCCUCUAUAUAUACUCCUACUACUGCUCUUCUCUCUCUCCUCCGACUCUUUGAGAGGAAUGGAGGGAGCUCUCGUUGGAUCGUCCCCUAGGGUUAGGGUUUCCACUCCGAGCGCCUCCUCCUUCGCGGGUUGCAAGGGAAACCUCCGCUUCAGUAGGGACCGUGCGGGGUUUGUUGUGGGUGGUGGAUCGCGGCGAUCGACUCCUCUCCGUUGCGAGAGAGCUGAGAAGGUAUUUGAGGUUUCAUACUAGUCAUCCUAGCUAGUGUUUUGCUUUUUCGGCUUAUUUUUGAUGAAUUUGUGGUAGUUUUAAGCUUAUCUAAUGUAAUUUGAAAUGAGGGGUUGUUGUGGGUGGUGGCCUUCGGAAAUUGAUUCCUCUCCGUUGCGUGAGAGCCGAAGAGGUGUUUGAGGCUUCAUAGUAGUUCCCUUAGCUAGGGUUUUGCUUUUUCUUUUUUGUUCGGGUUUAUUUCGGAUGGAUUUGUGAUAGUUUUAAGCUUAUAUGGUGUAAUUUGUAAUGGAGCAUCAUUUUGAUUCAGAGGUGAUCAAAUGGAUUAUGUUAAGAGAAUAUAAGAUGAUGAUUGCGUAUUCUUUUAUUCCAAUUUUGUUGGAGUUUGAUUGUCUUCUACAUAAUGUAGGCAAUUUGAGAUAAGUGAUUGUGUUGUUCUAUAUCAAGAUCAUUGCUUUCGGUGCAGUCAAUGUUAGGUGGAAAGUAGAAAUCAUUUGAGAUGAUUCGGAAUAUGAGAUGCUACAGAGAGUGGGAGAUUUUGAAUAGUAUUUUUUCGAUACAUCGAUUAAAAUUAGGAUUAGAUUAGUUUAUGAUAAUUUAUUAAGUUUAAAUUAUGGCAUCUCUAACAUGCUCAUAGUUUCUUACUUAUCUUGUUUGUUAAGAGGGUUUUGUAUGGUUGAUCAGUUCUGAAUGGUAGAAUCUUGCUCUCGGAUAUGAUUAGUUGUUAUGGAGGUUACAUGAAAUUGUAUGAUGGAAUUAUAGUAGAAUUUGAGGUCUUGACUGGAAUUUGGAAAUAUUUCGUUCUAUUCACAGUGUAAAAAUGGGGUUAAUACUGGAGAGAAUCUAUGCAAUACGAAGAUUGUAAAUGCUGUUCAUACUUGGCUGAACAAAUAAAUGCCGUUCAUAUUUGCAAAAUGCAUACAAAAUUUCAUGGUACAUAUGUUCCACCUAUAGAAAAGGGAUUGUAGUGUGCAGUUGACAGGUGCUGUCCAUAUUUGCAAAAUGCAUACAAAUAUCGUGGUCCACAUGCAGCCCACCUGCAUAGAAGAACCAAACAUGGCAUUGUGUUGCGCAGUCAAGGCAGCACCACCACCGCGUAUUCCGCUUACAUAUUGUUCUUCCAUAAUUGAUCUUAUUUAAGAUUUGAGGCAUUAAUACUGUAUCCUUGUUCAAUCAGUAAAAGCUUACUUACAUUUCAAGUAACUCUCCAUUUCUUUUCUUCUUUCAAUUUACUGUCCAUACAAUCCCAUUGAAGUAUGAAUACUAUUGUCAUAUUCUGUAUACAGUCGGACUAACAGACAGCUUAUAUAUGUAAUGGCAGAGCUAUAAUUUUAUGCUACUUUCUGUCUUGAAGAAAUAAAAUUUUCUUUAGUCUUUCUUCCAAUCACACUAUUUGUUUUUUAUUUUUUUUUAGAUCGCCUAAGUUAUCUAAAGUAUUGUUAUGAAUGGGUCCAGUACAUCCUAUUCUUAAUUUAUCCUUUGGUUCUUUGUUAGAUUCACAUAUCUAUAAUGUGUACUAUCGACAAUUCUCGUUAACACAUGAAUCAUGGUUAUGUACUUGCAGGACUGCAGUAAUGAACGCAUUGUUUUAUCAUACAAAAAUGACGACAUUGCAAACUCUGUCGAAGUUAAACAAUGGGAAAGUGGAAAAUCACUCAAUGAGAUAGCUGCAAAUCAGGGAAUUAGAAUUAGAAGAAGCUACCGAACGAAUAACUCCGAGAGCUUGGAGGGUGAGCAUGGCAGUCCUCGUAACAUUCUGGAAAAAAUCAUAUGGGACAAAGAAGUGGAGGUUUUACAGGCACUGCCUAAUUUUCUUUAUAGCAGAUCAGUAGAACUUUUUGGGUAAAUUGUAUGGACAGUCCCUGUAGGUCUGUCCUAUUCCUAAAUUAUAUGUUCCCUGAAGCUUCCCAUGCAUUUCCAUACCUAACGAUCAGGUAUCAGUUUUCCUGUAAAAUGAUCAUUUUGCUCCUUCUCCUGUAGAAAUGUCAUCCUUGUUUCAGUACAUGAGACAAGGUUAAAUUGUCAUUUUAGAGGUGAAAAAUCAUUUCUUCUUUUUUUUCUUUUCCCUUUAGUAGUCAGGCAUUUAAUUACAAUAUAAGACAGCUCAGGGACUACUCGUACAUUUUACUCAAUCUUUCCCUUAUUGGAUACAGGAAAAAAUGACAUUCUACAAUGCUUUCUUAUGUAGUUGAAAGAGAGAAAACCUCUGACCGUGUUGAACCAACUUAUAAAGGAAGCUCCUCUGGUUAGAGAUUUUGUUGGGGCUUUGAAGGCAUCUUAUGAGCGAACUGGACUCCCUGCUUUAAUAGCAGAGGUGAAGAAGGCUUCACCGAGCAAAGGUGUUCUAAGGGAGAAUUUUGAUCCUGUGAGUUUGCUAGUAAUCCUUUCUUGUGUUUAAGCUGAUUAACAGCCAAAAGGAAAAAUAACUCAACAUGGUUUUAGUGACUUCAUGUUAACAUUGUUUAGACGAUUCUUUUGGUGGCUAUUGACGUGCAUGUUAUUGCUGAUUCUGAUCUGCCAUUAAGUGCUAUCAAAUUAUGUUCAUUUGUAGAUAAACUUUGACAUGCUCCUAGAAGUAAUGUUUUCAGUGGGAUUAUCAGGUAAACUAUUUUUUUAUUUGUAUACAUUUUUAACUGCCACUUGACUUACUUUUAUUUUCCAGUUCUCCAGAUGUUAAGUUGGUUUAUUUUCUCAAUCCAUUCAAUCUUCGCUGCCUAAAUAAGCGGGUUCUCAUUGCAUUCAAGUUUUCUUAUUCAAUCUUCGGAACGAUGGCUACAUCUCUUUUUUAUCGCUCUUUUGGGCAUGCUUGGAAAUUCAUUUCCUUUGGACAUAGUUAGGUCACUAUUAUUAGAACAAUACUUUGUUGGGUUUGAUGGUGUAACCCAUAAUGAAAGCAAUGCUACUUUAGUUCCUUUUUGAACUGUCUUCCACUAAAUAUUGAUGGAACCACUUCAGUAAACAUUUUAAUUUUUUUUUUUCUUUGUAGAUUGUUAGUUCUGCGGCUUUCAUGACAUUCAAGGAUGUUUUGAGUUUUAUCAUUUUAGUUUUAUCAUUUGAUAAAACUGUAGCAUCCUGCAAUUUGAACAUAAGUUUAUGUGGGAACCAGUUAGAAGCUCCCUGAAUCAUAGAACAUUUGUCAUUUAGCUUUUUUUCUUGUGUUGUCUUUUAAAUAAUUUCUUGAUUUUCUUUCUUAUUCCUUUCUUCACAUGCAAACCGUUUUCAAUUUAUUUGAUCAACAUAGCACAAAAUCUCAUUAUAGGACAUUUUUGUUGCCUAACUUUUCAACUGGGAAGUCACCUACUCUUGUCAAAAAAUUAUUUGGGGAUUUCACAUAUAUAUCCCUGCAAAUUAUCUAUUUACAUAUGAAUCUCCAUAAAAUCUGAAUGGUCAUUUAUAUGAGAAUGGAGACUUUGCACAGUUAUGUUUGUAGAAAGAUACUUUUGCAGGUGUAUGCAUGCCAAGUCUCUUUAAUAUUCAUUCUUCCCUACAUAGAAUGUUGAACAGAUAUCUACUUUCUAUAGACUGAUCAAAGGAACUCAUCAACAUGCAUGUAUGUGUCUGUAGGGAGUUCUGGAGUGUUUUUCUUUCUCUGUUUAUCCAGUUCCGACAUAUAGGAUCAUACAAUGUGUUUGUGGAUUUUCGUAGAAUGAUGUAUUUCCUCAUGUUGAUGUUAUAAUGCAAUAAUUUCAUCUUUUGCUCUUCUGACAUCACUUUAUUCUUCUUUCUUUUGUGGCAAAAUUCUAAUCAAGAAUCAUAACAGGUUCAAAUAGCUCAAGCUUAUGAGAAAUAUGGUGCAGCAUGCUUAAGCAUCUUGACUGACGAAAAGUAUUUUCAGGUGAGUUUUAGCUCAGCGAGCUUCCAUAUUAUUAGUAGUAAAUUAAAUCUGUGUGAUAUCUCAAAAUAAUUUAGUUACUUUGACCACUUUUUUUCCCUUUUUUUUUAGGGAAGCUUUGAAAAUUUAGAGGCUGUCCGCAAAGCUGGAAUCAAGGUGAGUAUUUUGUGGAUAAAAUUCCAACUUCCUAGUCAAUUUCUAGACUCUAUCAUUUCUUUCACUUUUCAUUUUCUCUAUGAUUUAUGAGAUUUGUUAUGCCUAAAAUAAGUGAAACAUUGCAGUGCCCUCUUCUUUGCAAAGAGUUCAUCAUUGAUUCUUUGCAAAUAUAUUAUGCUCGUUCGAAGGGGGCGGAUGCAAUUCUUCUCAUUGCCGGGGUGUUGCCAGAUAUUGACAUCAAAUACAUGACCAUGAUUUGCAGAGAACUUGGCUUAGCAGCCCUUGUUGAGGUUCGAUCGAUCAUUCAAAUUAUUCAUAAAAAAAUUACAUUAUUAAUCGACUUUUGAAAUUUGAUUCUGUUUUUUGGAAUGACAAUAAAACGAUAGUCAAACAUUCUUCAAAUAUGGAAGCAGAGAAAUUGCAUAUACACAUAUUUAGCUGAUUAUUCUUCAGAAAUGUGUGUGUGGUGUUAAGACAAAUGGGCUUUUUGUUUUUUUUUUUUUUUUAAAAGAAACCUUUAGUCAUGUAUCUAGAAAGAAAGAAGCGACCGUAUACUAUAAAAGUAUCUUCGGCACUUGAAAUUAUUUUGCUUUCAAUUAUGGAUAACUAAGUUCUGGAUUAGUAUCCAUAAGUUCAUUCUAUUUAUCAAUAUUCCAGUUUAGUAAAAACUAAGUUCUGAUGAGUUGAAUGAAGAUAGAUUCAAUAGCAUCUUCCUGUUAUACUUGCUAAAGAAUUGUGAUGAGAUACUCUUGAAAGGGUCGAUUCUGGGUUCUAUUUUUCUUUGCUAUCGGUUAGCUCUAAAGUAUCUAAAAAUUAUUAUCAUUUUUGUUACAUUUAAGUAAAUUGAGUAUUUUUUUGUUUUGUUUAAUUGUGCACCACUAAGAAAGUGUUCACUUGAAACUUUAGGUGCACAACGAGAGGGAAAUGGAUCGUGUUCUGGGUAUAAAUGGGAUUCAACUCAUCGGUAUCAAUAAUCGUGGCUUAGGUAUGGUCUUGUAUCUUCUCUAAUUGAUUGGUUUCUGGAGCAAUCUUAUUUCAUCCUAACGUUGAAAGUAACUAGUAAUGCCUUACAUAGUUUCUAAAUGUUCGAGCUAGAGAUUAAACAUGUGAAAUAUACUUUUUUAACUGAUUAUGUCCAGUUGUCCACAAUGUUAUGCUUCGUGCACGAGCAAAUUUCAGAUUUCAAAGUACUUGCAUAGAUUCUACUUCUGUUAUCUGAUCAACCAACUUCUUGAUGAUUAUAUAUGAUUUUAAAACUAUAUGAUUUCUUUUCAGAACUUCCAUUCUCAGUGAAAUUAUAAAUAUAUUGCAGAGACAUUUGAAGUAGGCAUCUCCAAUACUAAGAAGCUUCUGGAGGGAGAGCGUGGUGAAAUCAUCCGCCAACGAGGCAUCAUUGUAAGUAGAUAAUUUUCUGUUGCGUAUUUAAUCAAGCCUUUAUCACAUGUUAGAUGAUUCUUCUAAUUCACUGCAUUGGUUAUGGUAAAAUUUUGAAGCUUAAUAGGAGGAAAAAAAUUGUCAAAACAAGUUGUAAUUUCUUAUUCUUGAGUUUUACGGAGUGUAAACUGAAAAAAAGAAAAUGUAGGUUCAACAGUUCAACUCAUCAACUUAUUAGAGGACAUACUUUUGUUCUAUAUGAUUAAUGAUUUUUGUUAAAUUGCCUUUCGCCUUGGAAAUUCAACAUUUCAGGUCGUGGGAGAAUCUGGGUUAUUCACCCCCGAAGACAUUUCAUAUGUACAAGAUGCCGGAGUUAGAGCGGUAAGUGUUACAAUCGCUGUAUACUAACAAUUCUUUAAUGUUUGUUACGUCCUUAAAUUAAAAGAUAGUUUUGAUUCGAUUAUUCGUGUGGAACAUUGCACAUUAUCCUAAAGGAGUUCCGUAACAAGCGAAUUGCCUGCUUAUAGAGCUUUUAACUGUCACGUUUCAGUAUAAUUGUUGGUGAAUAACAUGCAUUACGUUAAGUUACGGUCAAAGAUCUGAUACAUUUGAUGCUGAGUCUAUUAAAGGAGUAUAUUCCCAUAUAAAGCUAAUUGUUAGUAGUGCCGUAUCGUUGUAUGCUCAUGAUGAUCUGCAAUUGUUUCAAAUGAGUAUCUACAGGAUAAUCCAUUGAGGUUCCUGUUCUUCUGAAAACCAAUAUAUUACUUUAAUGCAUCGAUAUUAGUUUCUCCCGCAUGUAGUCAUUAGAAAUAAUGUGCUGAUACUGUGAUAUGUCCGAAAUUGUAGGUUUUGGUUGGGGAGUCCCUCGUCAAGCAGUGCGAUCCUGGGCGGGCGAUAUCAGGACUUUUCGGUAAAGACAUUUCCUAACUUAUAGUUAGCAGCAAAUAAAAUUUUGACCUGAAUUGCACUGUGAAAGAACUGCUUUGGUACAAUAAAAUGCAAUUCAAACUUACUGAUCACACAGGUGUCUUAAGCCUCCUCUCCUCUCCUCUCCUCUCCUCUCUCUCUCUCUCUCUCUCUCUCUCUCUCUCUCUCUCUCUCUCAGGGUAAUUCUCUCUAUUUCUCUCUCAAGUACACACAUACACAUACUCUGGGUGUGUUUGGUUCAAAGUCGAAAUCGGAAUAAGAGUAAGCUGGAAGCGAAUCGGAAUGCUUCAUUAUCUCAUUUUGUUUUGUUCGUCAUCUGAAUCAGAAUCAGAAUGAAUAAUUUUAAUUGUCGGUGUUUGGUUCAGAGAGAUAUCAGAAACGUAAUCAAAUUAAUAUGUCAAUUUUAUUUUUAUAAUAUAUAUUAGUUUAAAUUUAAACUGAAAAUUAAAUAUUAAAAAUUUAUGUCAAAAUUUUAAAAUAAUGUCAAAAUUUUAAAUAUAUUUUUUUAAAAAAUUAAAAUUUAAAAUUGAACGGAUAAUUUAAAAUAUAAAACUAAAUUUUGAUUUUUUGAAAUUCAAACUUAAAAUUAUAAUUUCAAUUUCAAUUUGAAUCCAUAAAUUUAAUUUAAAUUUUAAAUAAAAUUUGAAUAAAAUUUUAGAUUUUAAAUUAAAUUUACAUUUAAAUUCAAAUUUAUAAAUUAAAUUUGAAAUGCUUGAUUGAGUUUUAAUUUUUAAUUAAAGUUUAAAUUAAAAUUUAAAAUUAUAAAUAUAAUUUAAUCAAGUAAAUUUAUUUCAUCCGGAUUCAAUUUCAACCUGGCCUGAUUAGAAAAAGGAGUGCUGGGAGGGACUUUUAUUCAUUUGGAAAUCGGAAUCGGAAUGAAAGUUUCGCAUACCAAAUAUAGACAAACGGAUUCGUUCAUUUCGAUUUCGAUUUCAAGGUGUAAAAAGAGCGAAUCAAACAAACCCUCUUUGUCUCUAGUUAAUUCUACCAAUUGUCAUCACAGUAUAAGAGGUUGCUUUAUCCAUACUGAUUAUGCGUGAAUUUUAGAAGAGCCCCGAGGCGUAGCAUAUAAUUAGAUCAUGUGUCCUCUGGUUUUAUUCGAUAUAUCGCUUAAAUGUUUUGAAGUAACCAUUUCUUUUCUUCAAGAAAUUUUAGGCUUAGUUUGUGAAACUUCAAUUUGCUCCCCUAAGAUUUAGCGUAUUUUUACUCGGCCACCAUAUAGUUUUUCACUCUAAGUACUCGUAGACUUGCAUACAUGUAUUUUUAUUUAUUGCAAAAUGUAGGGUGGUGCAACAUGACUCUUUACCCUCCUGUAAUCUUUAUUUUCAUAGCCAUGCUUUUCAAAAAGUAUCAUUUACUAUCUUAUUUAAUGAUAGAAUUUUAAGUGGAAUAAAAAUAAAAUCAUAGGAUAGUUAAGUGCUAAACCUUUACGGGGCAAAUUGAAGUUUAUCCAAAAGAGUAAUUUUCGGCUCAUAACUUUGGAUAUUUGGUAAAUUACAGGGGGAGUGAUUUUUCGCUAGUGUUUGAAUAAGAGUCGGAAUCGAAAUAAAGGAGGUUUAAUAAUGUUUGACGAAGGUUAAUAGAGUCCACCUUGUGUAUUAUCAGUAGUACGGAGACUUUCGUUCUAUCAAGUUGUUCCCAUAAUAGGACAUCUGAAUUGAUAAUCGGCUUCGUCUUAUAUGAUCUACAUUAUUAAAAGUAUCUUGGAAGUAAAUUUUAUAUUUUUUUGAUAUAAUUUGAUUAGUGAUAAAAAAAGAUAUCUCAAAAUUAACAAUUCAAAUAGCCAAUGCGAUCAGUAUUUAUAAGUUCAAUAGUAUAGAAUAAUUCAUAUUCAGUGAAAUUUUAAUAAAAAAUUUAAUUUACUAUUUAAAACAAGAUCAGUGUCUAAUUUGAAAAUUUAAAUUUAUUAUUAUUAUUUUUUAUAAUAUUUUUAAUUUCAGUCGUUCAUUUUGAAAUUAUUUAUUUUAAAAGUAAACGAUAUUAAAAAAUUAAAAAAUUAAAAAAUUUAGUUUUUAAAUGCUUCUUACAGUAUAGUUNUUUAAAACAAGAUCAGUGUCUAAUUUGAAAAUUUAAAUUUAUUAUUAUUAUUUUUUAUAAUAUUUUUAAUUUCAGUCGUUCAUUUUGAAAUUAUUUAUUUUAAAAGUAAACGAUAUUAAAAAAUUAAAAAAUUAAAAAAUUUAGUUUUUAAAUGCUUCUUACAGUAUAGUUUAUAUCUAAUAGAACUAAUCGUGGAUUCAAACCUCCCGCCGUAAAAAAUAACUUAGUAGUGUCCUUAGGGCAGCUGCAAUACAAAAAAGUAGAUAUUUGGCAGCCAAAAUAUCUUAUAUUUUAAUUGUGCAUUGAAAAUUGAAAUCUGACCGAUUCAGCUGUAGUUUUCUUCCUUUCCUUUUUUUUCUCUCUUUCCAAGGAGAAAUUUUACACUGUCAUACUUGCACCACAUCAUCAAUAACAAGUCAAUCACAUUACUUUUUUUAAAAUAAAAGUACAAUAAAAAUACUUUUUUACAAUUAUGUUGGGACAUAUAUUCUUAAAAGGAUUAAUUUGAUUGGUUUGUUACGUCACGUCACUAAUAUACCCGUUGCAUUCUAGAAUUUUUCCUUUUCAAGGGGGAAAAAUGUACAAAGACGCCAUGCACUCUAGCCAUUUUUGGAAACAGGAUUUGAACUUUAAAUUUGGUGGUUAUAUAUUUUUUUAAAACUAUAUCAAACAGUUUAAUCAACUUCUCUGCUCAAUCAAAGUUACUAAUUAUGAACCCAUUUAGAUUUCAUGUAUUGUACAUAAUUUUGUAGGAUUUUGUAUUUUACAUAAUUUUGUAGGACUUCAAAAUGUAAAGAUUUUUUUUUUUUUUUUUUCGUCUCCAGUGUUCACAAUUAAACAUAAGAACUAAAGAAUAUGGUACAUCUAAUUUCAAUUUUUGUUAUUUAUUUUUAAUGUAUUGGAACAGAAGAAAUAUAUAUAUAUAUUUUUUGUAAAUUUAAAGGUUUACAAAGUUUGAUGUAUAGAAGAAGUGGGGUUGUUGAAUUAUUUAAUAAAAUUUAAUAUCUAAUUCUUUAAAAUUAAAAGUACAUAUAUUUAUUUGCAAAAGACAUGAUGUUUAGUGGAUUUUCAUAUAUUUUUUCCCCAUCCAGAGAGUUUGGAGAUUUGUGUUAGGUAUCACGGACACUUCUAUAAGUCUCACGUGUCUGUAUGAGACACACGCGUGUCUGUGUCGGAUACUUGUCUGAUGUGGACACUUUUCGGACGCCUGUUUAAUACUGAUUCAUAGCACAUGCAACUAAAAAAAAUAUAUACCUAUUUUUAUUAUACUUUUUCUAUGUAUAUAUAAUGUACGAUAAUAAAUAUUUUAGGUUUUUGUUGGAUGCAUGUAAUUUUUUUUGACAAUAUAAAUAAAUUAUGUAUGGUGGAGAAUUUUUUUUAAAAAUAUAUCAACUACUAAUGAAAAUUUUACUAACUUUUAUUCGUACGAAAAAUUUACCAAAAUUAAUAUUUUAUAUAUAAUAAAAAUAUAUUAUUGUAUUAAUAAUAUUAUAUUUUAUUAGCGGUGUUAAUGCCGUGUCCGUGUUCUAAUUUUUUUAAAGUUAUCGAGUCGCGGUGUCCUAGUCAUAUCGUGUCCCGUGUCACGUUUAGGAUUUGUGUCAUUCACGAUGCUAUUAAUAACUAUAUUAUACUGCACUAUAUUUUACAGAUUUUUUUGUAUUUUUAUAUUGUACUUUUUUUUUUCAAAGGCACCACUUAAUUAUAAUUAUUUUUUGAUUUCUACACUAUAACAAAUAUAUCUAUAGUUUAUAUAAAAAUUAUUAAAAAAUACUUAUUAAAAAUAAUUUAAUAAAAAUUUUUUAUGAGUCUAUUGUAGAGAUUUACUUUAUAUUUUUUCUAUUAUUUAAGCAGUGUCUUUUAAUAAACUUAUUAGAAUUUGUUUAAAAUAUAAGGAUUAAAGUGCAGUGGCACAGUAACGUGCCGCUGUUUACCUGACACGAUAUGGUACAUGUGCGCUUCUGUGCCGACAUAUGACACGCUUGCGUACCCGUAAAUAUGCAUGACUUUUUAUUGGCACGAUCUGGCACCAACUUAUUUUAUUUUUUUAAAUCCAAAUAAGCUCUUUUAAUUUUAUUUGAAAUGUUCAGUCAAAUAAUUAUGGAUAUUGGCUACACAAAUUAACAUAUUGAUAAGCUUAUUUAUACGUAACGUAAAAUUAUAUACCUUAUAAAAAAUAAAAAUUAAAAUACAAUAAUAAAAUUCACAAGUCUAAUAACUAUUUAAAUUUACAUCUUUAUAUAGAGAUGAUUACUUAAUUUCACAUAAAUUAAAAUACAAUAAUAAAAUUUAUAAGUAUAAUAAUUAUUUAAAUUAUUUUUAUUAAUAUUUUUAAAAAAUAAUUUUAGAUCUAUUCAUAAAAAAUUAGCAAUAAAUUAUAUAACAAGCAAAGUAAAUAAAUAUAAGUACCAAUUGAUUUAACUUGGUUUUUAAUUUUAUCAGUAGUUUUAAUCUUCUAACUUCAAAAAUAGAAUUUUAUAUUAAAUGUACCUCGAAAUUUGGUUAUCGAGUUCGAUUUUGUGCUCCUCAAAAUUUGGUUAUCAGUAUUUUUUUUAAGGAUAAACAUCAAAUACCCCCCCUGUGGUUUUGCACUUUUUCACUUCAGUACCUUGUGGUUUAAAGUGUAUCAAGUUAGUGUCAUGUGGUUUUAUUUUUACCUUUUCAUCAGUUUCUCCGUUAAUAUUUCGUUAAAUUAAAUACAAAAUAACUUCAGAUAUCCCAUCUAGGCUUAUUGAAUAUUCACUUUAGUACCCUUUAGUUUUUACUUCGUCACUGAUUUAAUGCGAACAAAAUUAGUGGAAUUGAUAAUAAAAAGAUAAAAAUGAAAUCAUAUGAUACUAAAUUGAUAUAAUUUAAAUCACAGAAUGCUAAAGUGAGAAAGUGUGAAACCACAUGGGCGGUGUCUGAAGUUUUCUCUUUUUUAACUUAACCUUUUUUAGUUGUACAGAACAGCAAUACCUAGAUGGUGAGCACAGGGACAGACCAGCUGCAGGCAAUAAUUUCUUCCAUGCUUACCUGACUCUCUCGUGUCAGUACAAACGGGAUUUUUUUUUUUUUUUUUUUUUUUUUUUUUUGCAUAUAUACCCCUCCAAAAUAGAUGUAUUUGCAUGCACAUCCUUUCAAAAGUUUCCAUGAUCUGGGGUUGAUGGAGCUUCCACCCCAAUCCACCCUAAAUGGAACGGUACGUAAGAGACAAUAAACGAAUUCGAGACGGUAAAUAAAAUUAUUUUUAUAAUUCAAGACGGAUUCAGGAGGCGAUAAAAAAUUUAAUCCGCUCCGCGGCCCAACUCUACUGAGAAUCCACCCCGAAAAAAUAUUUAAAUCAUAAAAUAAGUUUUAUCUUUUUUUAGUUCUCUCAAAAAAAAAAAAUUUUCUUUUUAGAAUAUUAUUCAGGUUUUAAAUGUUAUUUAUUUCUAACAUAAUACUUAAAAAUAAAAAUGGUAAUUUCAUUUUUAAUUUUUUUGAUUAAAAUGCUAAAAAUUUAAUAUAUUUAAUAAAAAUUUAAAUGAAAAAUAAAAAAAUUUUGGCAGGGUAGAUUUAGAAGGCGUGGUGGAUCAGGAAAAAACAUCCGACUCAGAUCCGCUCCAUUUACAUCCCUAGCCCAUAGAAAUAGCCAUAUUUGCAAACAUACCCCUCAACAGUUAAAUUUUACAUCCAACCUCUCAUAAUCUAUGUUUGCGUGCAUGCCCCUCCAAUUGUACAACUCUUUAAUAUAAAAAAAUCCUUUUAAAUAUUAUGCUGGUAAAAUCCGUGUUUGAAAAGAUGCAAAGCGCAAAAAGGCGCAAAGCUUUCUGGAGCCUAAGCACGAGACGCACCGCAAAACGCACGCCUCAAGAAGAUGAGGUGCACGUCUAAUAAAAAUAUAACGCUCUUAACAAACCUAAUUUAAAUCGAUAUUUUACGUUAGAAAAAUUUCAAAUUAGUCAUACAAAAACAAAAUUACUAUAAAAAGCAAGAAAAUCACAUUUAUAAAUAUUCUCAAAUUAAAAAGAAAAAAAAUUAUAUUUUAACUUUCAAUUUAAAAGUGCUUGCUUUCUUACUUCUUGCCACUGCUCCUUGCUUGUUGUCAUUAGAGGAUGAAAGAGUGAACGAACAAACGAAAAGAGAAAAAAAGCGUUCAAAUAAAAAAAAUUUUCAAUUCUUUAACAUUUUAAAAUAUAUUGAAAAAACUCAAAACCUGAAAAUCCAAACCCUAUACCCAUCAAACGUAAAAUAUCAUGAGGCACGUCUGAGACACACGCCUCGCCCCCUUAGGGGGCCACCAGGCAACACCAAGCUUAUGCUUGAGUCAUACACCGAAAAAUCUCACAAAAUAAGGCCUCAAAAUAACAGGAAUCUAGGAAUCAGUUAUCGGCAAAUAAGAUCAAACAUCAUACUCGCAGAUGCGGCGGAGUUCAUGUAAGAACAUACCCACCCGAACACCUGGCGAGUUACAAACAUCGUCGUUCGCACCGUAACAUUGAAGAAUCUUAUAAGCUAUUAUUCAAGUUCAACAAGUCAUAUUGGCCCUCUCAUGAUGACAUACAUUCUUCUUGCAAAUUUGUACUGGCUGAUUGAAAUUGCAGAGAGAACAAAAAAAAACAAAAAACAAACAACAACUACACUAUAAAGACGAGUAGUAGUUUAUGACAACUUACCGAAUACGUAAUCAUUUACAUUAAAUAGUCCGUCGAUCCUCCACGCUCUCCAUCGACCCCCCAUCUCGCAUCAUUUCACCUUCAACCACACUGACUCAAAAGCAAAUUUCAACCGCACAUGCUACCGCAUCAUAGAUAAUGUUUCUCUUUUUUUUUUUUUUUUUUUUCUUUUUAAACCCUUGAGAAAUAUCAUUAGUAUUAUAGUUUAAGGAAGCCCUUAACGUUUAGGAUUCCGCCUGAGUAGCUUGCAUGCAGCAAAACCACUUUUUCUGCAGAUCAGAGGAGUUUCAUAAUUUGCAACAGUCGAGAUAUAAAAGUAAGGAAAUGCGUACCAAAUUAUAUCCUUUAGGUUAAUUACUGCUUUAGUCUGCGAAGUUUGUCGAGAAUUUCAGACACGCUUUUCAGAGUUUCAACUUUAACAAUUUCAGUUUGGCAACUUGUUUCGAUGUGUGAGGACAUCAACCUCAGUUUUUGGCACGGGUUCCACUUAAUAUUGCUUGGGGUUUGGUGAAAGGAGGAAACAUAGUGGAAAGGUGGAGUUUUUCAGAUGUUGCUCAAUACGGCGUGAAACGACUUCCUCCCAGCUGGAGCGAAGUCAAUCUAUGGAGGAAUUAGAAUCGAAAAACAAAAACCAUGAAGCUGUCCGAUGUGAAAGGAGUCUCGAGGAAUCAAUUCAGUCACUUAAAGAACGAGGGAGUUGAUGGAAAGGCGGUUCAAGUGAAAGCCAAGUUUCGAUCAAACAAACACCCGAGUACAAGUCUAGUUCAGUGAAUCCAAGUUCUGCUAAAUUUGACUGCCAACUUAUUUUCAUACUGAUCAAAACAAAGAUGUCCUUGGUACCUAAAGUUUGUUCCGUGUAACAAUUAAGUCUCUUCCCUUGGUUCGCCAUUGGUCCUGGCAAUGAAUAAUAACAAGAUAGAAACGUACAAAACUUGCCUAAAUUAUAGACCAUUUUGAUUUGGCUACCAAAUCUUCGAGAUUUUUCAUUUACCGCCAAACCUUUUAAUUUGUUUAACUUGAGUUAGUCACCAAUACUUUGACUUCAAAAUUUAAGCUAAUUAUUUAUUUUAAUGAAUUUAUAAUUGCGAGAAUUGUAUGAAAUAUACUAACUAAAUGUAAAGAUAAAUGAUGCGUUCAAAUUUUGAAGUUAAAGUGCUGUGGACUGGCUCAAAUCAAACAAAUCGAAAGAUUAGAUAGUAAAAUCAAAAUUUUCAAAGGUUAGGUAGCCAAAUCAAAAUAGCCCAUAGUUUAAGUUCUAUACGUUUUUGCCUAAUAACAAUAAUGCUGAUGUGACAUCUUCUUUAGAUGGAAGACUAACAGGAGCAUUCAAAUUAUGACGAGCAAACUUCAAGGACUAAAUUGUUAAAAGUUAAAACUCUAAGACGUAAUUGAAAUUUACGUCAAACUUCAAAGAUUAUAUUUUGUAAUUAAUCCCAAAUUUUAUUGCAGACAUCUAGUGUGGUCAGACAAAUAUAUCAACUUCUAUUCUCCCCAAAGAAGAAAGAAAGAUGAAAGAAAAACAAGAGGUGGUUUGAUUCACAAAUCGUUAUCUUUACAAAAGAAGGCAUCCACCACAUAAUAUAAAGAAGUUUAGUUAUGAUUUCCAAGUCGAAGAUAGGCUGAAAAAAGAUGGUCAUUGAGCAACAACAAUUUUAGUUGAAGUUUUCAGGUUGAUAAAACCAACUUGGAAUCUCAAAAUAAGCAAGAAAUUACCGAAUUAGUCUUGGUAGCAUAUGGCCCAUUCUUCAAUGCGUGCUCCUCCUUCGCAGGUGAAUCUGGUCCUCGUGCGUUCCCACCGGUCUUCUUCUCAUCUCUAGCUUUAUUGAAAAUGACAGUAAAUCCUUCAGCAGAAGCAGGGUCAUUCACAUCCCACUCACCAAACUUUGGUAGAGGUGUGCCUUUUUCCUGCUCAGAAUCCAAAAAAACUAUUUUCAGCAAGACAAUAACAUUGAGCUAGAAAAAUUGGUCAGAUGAGCUUUCUUUUCUUGUUAAAUACUAAACAAGCAAAGUAAAAUAUAGCCUUAGAUACUAACAAAACAAAACUGACACAUUUGAAAGGUUGUAAAAUUUGAGACCCUUACUAUAUUAAAAUAUCUGUGGUAAUACAGUGAAUCCGGUACUGUCGAGUAGAAGAUCUGCAUAUUAUAAGAAUCUAUUCCUAUUUUUAGGACCAUCUACUAGAAAGGUUGCAGCGAUCCAGCACUAACAUUCUGAGGAGAACAUUUAUCAACGGUUUUAGUUUUACAAACAAAGUCGCCGGUCCCCAUUUACAUGUCUAUAACACAUACAAUUAUACUUGUUGUAGAAAUUUCAUCCGAAAAAAGCUGGAAAGUGCUCUUUCUAGGGAAAGCAAUUUCCAAGAAAAGAAAAGGAAUGAUGAUGUUUUUGGUGUUUAAAUGUUUUCACAAUUUUGGUUAGCAAGAAGAAUGAAACAGAAAAUAGCGAAUAACUUCAGUAAGUUUGUCGUUCUGCUUUCUGUUGUCCAGAAAAUUUAUUGGGAAAACAGAAAAAGCAAAUCCAUACAAUCUGGACAUUACUUUUACAGAGAAAUUAAAAUUAAGCACACACAAACACUUGGAAAAUAUUUUCCAAGCAUAAAACUAUAUAUCUAGUUCUAUCUAAUACAGAAACAAGCAGCAUUUCCCAUCAUCUGCAAGGUGCAAACAGAAUGAAUUGACAGUUUUGUAAAACUGCAGCUCAAGCACACAUCAGCAUCCAAAGAAGUAUCUUCAGGGAAUAAUGAAGUAAAUUAUUAUUCACCACCAUUCACAUCAGCGAUACUGAAGUUGUUUUAUCACUAUGCAUCAUGCUGUCUACAUGAUUUUAGUUAAAACAAAAGGCAGUAAUUGUAUCAAGAAACAAUAUGACAUAAAACGGCGUUCUACCAAAAUCAGAGGGAAGUUCCGACACAGCAAAACAACUCACGCAUAGUACCACAACCACAAUGAAACAAAUUUCACAAAUCCAACAACUAAGGCCGUGUUUGGCCAAGGAAUUACUAAUUAGGUGUGGAUACUAGUGAGAAAUCUCGCUCUCCCAUCAUACAGAGAAGGAAAUCGAGUCCCUGAUUCCAUCAAUCAAUUAGAUGGUGGAUUCAUCAACAGUAAAAUCGAGUCCCUGAUUAACUUAAUAGAAACAUCUCAAAUUAAAACUAAGGAGAAGUUAAGGAUUUAGGGGUUUAUUUCAGAAUUGGUUAUAAUUUAGGUGGUCACCAUGCAUUUAUACCAAAGAAAAAAACAAUAACAGAUAACACUAAACAACGGUAAAAAUGUACUAACACCCCGUUAACUACAGACUAUUUUAAAAUAUGCCCCUCAACUUUACUCCUUUUAAUUGGCACCCCCUUAAUUUCUAAUUUUUCUUAUUUGAGCAAUUCAAUUUUAUUGAAUUUAGAGGCUCUAUUUAGUUGUUAUUAGCGGUUAAUCGUUCCAGCUUCAUUUGCUAAUACUUGAUUAAAGCUAUUAAAUUCGAUGGAAUCACUAAUCAAUCUAAUAAAUCGCCAAUUUGAUUGACUAAAAUCAUUAAAUUCAAUAAACAAAAAAGAAAAAGUUGAGGGGGUCAUUUCAAAAUGGCUUAUAGCUGAGGGGUUCUCCAUACCUUUUUUUACCACCAAGCAACUACAAAAAAACCCUAGAAAAAAGAAUCAAAAACACCGCAAACAGAUCCAAACAAGCAAAACCCACACAAUCUCUUGAAUCUAAUCGACUUGUAAAGCAUAAUUAGCACACUCGUAUCCUUCUCCACAACCACAUAAUUAAAACACCAUUUCCGCAUCAAAACCCCACCAAAUCCUUACAACAAUCCAAGAAAUACCAAUCCGAAACUCAUUCAUAACCGCAUAAAUUUCAUGUUUAAUCACAAAAUCCCUAAGAAACGAUCCCACACAACCUAAAAUGAUCAAAAGAUUCAAAACCCUUCCUAAAUCAAUCAAAUCAAACAUUUCUAUACCAAACCGACCACGAAGAAUCCAAAUUUAUACUUUAAUUACGAGAAAAAGAAGAAUUUGAGGGGGAAUCGACGCUCACCGCCAUAAGAUUCCUCCGUAAGCAAAGCGAGAGAGAGAGAGAGAGAGAGAGAGAGAGAGAGGGAGAGGGAUUAGAGAGAGAUUCUAAAUUUAGUACUCGUUGGAAUAAUAAAUUAUUAUUAUUAUUAAAUGCGGGUAGAAAAUGUAUGUAACCCCCUUAAUUAUAUGGAGUUUUGAAAUGACUCCCUAAACAUUUCUUCUUUUUUUUGGGGGCGAUUAAAAGUUUGAAAUUCUUGUAGCUUUUGUGAAAAUGUACGUAAACUCACUCAACUAUAAAAAAUUUUAAAUUUGCCCUCUAGGUUUUGUAUUUUUGAUUGGAACCUUUUUAACUUCUAAUUUGAGUUGAGCAAGUGAAAAUGUACGUAACUCCCUCGGCUAUGCGCAGUUUUGAAAUGAGCCCCUUAACUUUUAUUUUUCUAAUUUAAACUCUUUUAUAGUUAAUCAACUUAAAAUUUUAUUUAAUUUCGUAAUAAAUAGCUAUUCGCAGUUCCACUCUAAAGUAGUUUAAACUGUUAAAUUUGAUAGAAUUAUCAAUAAAUGUGGUAAAAUUUUUAACUCAUUCGGCUAAAAUCAGUUAAUUUCAAAAUAUUAAAAGCUGAGGGGUGUCAAUAUAAAAAAUUUGAGGGAGCUUUUUUAGAAUUGCGUACAGUUGAGGGGGAGUCGUACAUUUUUAUUUCUAAGUUUACAACUCAAAAAUGUAUGGAGAACCCCUCAAGCUUAAUGUUUAAUGUUGGAAAGUGAAUUAAUUCUAAUUAUUUUAGCUAAUAUUUUUUUAAAAAUUUACAAUUAUACUAGCCAUAAAAAAUUUAUUAUUCUAUUUUUAAAUGCUAAAAAUUAAGUGUUUAUUUUGGUACAUAUGACAAAAUUAUCAAUGAAUUUGCUCAAAUCUCUAUAUUUUUACUAAAGUUAUUUUAAUUUUAAAAUUGAAGGUUAAGUAGUCUUAUUAAUGAACGAGUUCAAAGUUGAGGGGUAGUUUCAAAAUAACCGAUAAUUGAGGGAUCUCCGUACAUUUCUACCACAGUUGAGGGGUCUUUUUCAGAUUGGCCGAUAAAGUUGGGGGUCCCUACAUUCCUUAGAUUAGGGUGGUAGAGAUUUAGCUUUUCUCUCUAUUAUAUGUUGGUGAAAAUGCAAGGGACCCCCUUAACUUUACAAUUUCUUUUUUUUUUUUUUAAGAAACUUGACUCCCUUUUAGUUUCUAGUUUUAUUUUAUUUAAGUUAUUCUGGUUUAUUAAUUUAAAAUUUAAGCAAAUUCAAUGGUUUUGUUAGUUAUACAAAAAAAUUAUUUUAUUUUUAUAAAAUAACUAUAUUACAUGCGUAAAAUAGCUUAUCUAUUUUAGUUAAUUUUUUCAAAUGCAAAAUAUCCGUAAUAGUUUAGGGACUAAAAUAAUUGAAAAUAAAUAUAUUUAAUUCCUUGUGAAUUUUGGUGGCUGUUUGGCUGUUUGCAUUUCGACAACCAUAAUUAUUGCGUGCCUGAAAAAUACUGUUUGGUUGUUUGUAUUCACACGUGCAUUAUAUUCAGGACCUAUGACACCUUGAAAAACUUUAUCUAUCAGUUUGUUCGUAUUAGAUUUGGAACGCUGCGAAAGUUCGACGAACUUUUCACGCGCUACACUCUAUUAGAACCUUGUGGAAGUCUAUAUAUUCCACCUAAUCUUCUGAAAUUUAGGGUUAUAGAAAUGUAUUCUUGCACAUGUAAAAUUUUUUGUAGAAAUGCAUUCUUGCACAUGUAAAAUUUCUUGUACAUGCAAAGGUUGAGAAGUUGAAAAGGCAGUGGCAGCAUGGAGAAAGAAAAAGAUAAAAACACUCCUACGCAAACCUAUUUAGUAUAUCCUCAUAGAAAGUCAUCACAUAUCGAGUGUAUAUUCGUUUACUCAUAUGUUUGUAAUGAAUAGAUAGCACAGAACAUACAUGGGCAUAAUACUGUAAGAUGUGAAAUGCAAAUUCCAAAAAUCGUGAGAUGAUAUUUCCGGUUUAGUCAUCUAACUGUUAUCUAUAAUAGCAAAUAAAACUAAAAUAAAAACAAACUCGGCCUCAAUUUUUGUAUUUAUUACUAUUCCUAGUUUUGACCAUCCAAAUUUUAUUCCCACGCCGAGCUUGAAGUAAAUUAUUUUAUUUUAAAAAAAAUGACUUGAAGGCUGAAUCUAGUAUAUUUUUGUAUGUAUUUAAUCAUGCUAUUUAUCUACCAACCAUUGGAAUAAUAAACAAAAUAUGUACAAUUUUAUAUUUAUUCUUAUAAAGUUUUAAAAUUGCGCGUGUACACCUAAAAAGUUUUAAUAUAAAAAUUUUAGAAUUUAUAAUCUAGGUUUUCUGUACAAUGACAAUUGACAAGAUAGUUAAUGUAAAAACAUUACAAAUAAAAGAAUAUUGUUAAAUAUUAUAUUAAAAAAUUAAGAAUAAAAUGUUCACUUUAAAAAAAAAAAACUUUCAUUAAUUAAUGUUGUAACAUUCUAAUAAUUUCAUAUCGAAUGAAAAAGGGCUUUUGAUUGAGAAUAUAAAAGGCUGCGUGCGCACUUUAGUAAUAAUAACUAAAUUUAAGCAUUGUUGGCCGAUGGUUUGAGUCCCACGAGUUAUCAUUAUCAGAAUAUUUAUAAAAAUUAAGUGUUAUGCAGAUAUGUGAUCAGAUCUGGACUUGAGGAGGACAUACUUAAACAUAAAACAUUUUGGCCCAUAGAUGAUAGGGUUGAAAUAUGCGAUGGCAAAAAAACAUAAUAAUAACACUUUACACAUAAAUAUACAUAUAUAUUGAGAUAGUUUAUAGUAAAUGUGUAUAUAUAUAAGGAUUAAAGUAAAACACUUUCAAAAGUGUAGGGACCACUAACGUUGAACUUAAAAUUUUGUGGAUCAAAAUAAAAGUUGGUUGAAAUUUCGGGGACGAGCACUGCAGUUACAGGAGAAUAUAUGCAAAUUUCAUUCUUUCGUAGGAAUACACAUGCAAUUAACUCAAUAAAAUAAAAUAAAAAUAUCGUUCAAAAAAGGGUAGACUUUAAAUACCACCCUAUAGCUUCAUAUUUUCUCAUUUUAGAAUCUUAUAGUUUAAAGUGUAUCAAUUUAGUACCAUGUGGUUUCAUUUUUCUCUUUUCGUUAGCUUCCCCAUUAAUAUUUCAUUAAAUUAUAUACAAAAAAACUUUAGAUACCCCACCUAAAUUUAUCGAAUAUUCACUUUAAUAUUCUUUAGUUUUAACUUUGUCACUGAUUUAGCAAAAAAAUUUGUGAAAGAGAUAAUAAAAAGAAAAAAUUGAAACUACGGGGUGCUAAAUCGAUACACUUUAUACAUAAAGUACCAAAAUGAAAAAGUGCAAAACUACAUAGAUGGUAUUUGAAGUUUUUCCUACAUUUAACCUUGGACUGGAGCGAAGUAAAAUGAACAGGAAUUAAAUUAUAAUAUGUAAAAAGCACAGGGACUAUCAUUUAAAAAGAAUCUAUAAUGAGACAAAGGAGGGGUAUCUUAGCCGUGAUUGUGGGGGCGAGCGCGGGUUCCGAGGUCGCCGUUUAUGACAAUGAACGGCGUUAUCGUCGGCGCAAUUGGAGACGUGACGGCGUUAACAAGGAGCGACGGCCGUUAACUUCUCUGCUACAAAACUAACGGGUUGGGCAGUUAAUAAGAGAUUGGACUCAAUUAAAUUUAGGGUUUUUUUUUUCAAAUUUACUACCCCUAAAAAAAAAAAAAAAAAAAGAAAAACUUCAAGUACCAUCCCUAUAGUUUCGCACUUUCGCACUUUAGUACCCUGUGAUUUAAAGCGUAUUAAUUUAAUACCCUGUUGUUUCAAUUUUCUCUUUUUAUUAUCCAUUCCACUAAUUUUUUUUAUUAAAUUAGUGACAAAAUUAAAACUAAAGAGUACUAAAGUGAAUAUUCGAUAAACCUAGGUGGGGUACCUGAACUCUUUUGUAUAUAAUUUAACGAAAUAUUAAUAAAAGAGCAGACGAAAAAAGAAAAAUGAAACCACAGGAUAUUAACUUGGUACACUUUAAACCACGAGAUACUAAAGUGAAAAAGUGUGAAACCACAUAGAUGGUAUUUGAAGUUUACCGAAAAAAAAAUAUUCCAAUUAACCCUAGCAAAUUUGUAUUUACACUAUGACCUCUUCUUACCACGCGAGUACUUUGUUUGCAUUUUGAAAUUGAACACGGUGAAUAAAUUACUGUGUUCAUAUCCACACUUUAGCUUUUCUUUUUAACUUACGGGCGAAAAAAUAUAAAAAAAUAUAUAAAAAGGAGCACGGUGAUCUAAUUACCGUGUGUCCGUGUUUAAAUAAGAUGAUUGAAUCACCGUGGUCAACUUAAAAAUGCUACCUAGAUGCUCGUGUGGCAAAGAGAAAGCUAUUUAUGCAAAUAUAAAUUUGUUAAGAUCAUUUGUUACAAAAAAAAAUUUGAGAGGGCCAUGUGCAAAAAAAUUAAAUUUAAAUUGGCCCGUUUGUUUCAUGGAAAGUAAAGUUUAGGUUAAAAUAAAUUUUGGUUGAAGUAAAAAUUCGCGUAAAAAUUAUUUUUUCUCCGCUAUUUAUUUUUAUAGUUUUGGAACUUAAUUUUUCUCAGUCUGCUGUUGUUGUUGAAUUCGGCUCUUAUAUAAUUUUGUAAAGCAUAAAUAACAAUAUAAAAAAAGUAUAAACAUAAUAUAAUUAUAUCCCUAACAAGUAAAAUUUUUUUUAUACAUAUAUUAUAAUAAUACAAUAAUAAAAUUCUAAAGUAAACACCUUACCGCCCGGGAUACGGAAGCGAGAAUUGGAGAGGAGAGAAAUGAAAGGCAAUAGUAUUUUACUAAUUUUUUAUACUUUUUUUUUAUAAUUAAUUUUAGUUUACAUAGGCCGAAAUCAAUUGUGAUAUUUUGGAGAGUUCGAAUUACGAUGCAAUCACAUGACAAUGAACCAAACAAUAAAAAUGAGCAUUUACUGCACCUGUCUCCACUUCGGAUGAAACAAACACCUUCUACUUGGACAAACGAAAAUAGGCUAACUAAGAACAUUUUAAUUCUCAAACUUUAAUAUAUUAUAAUUUUAAUUCUAACUUUAUGAAAUGUAUGUUCACUUCUAAUAAUUUUCUUUUUUAUUAGAACCAAUUGCACCAAAUUAAAUUUUCUGCAACUUCAAAAAUCUUACUCUUUUUUUCGAGACUCGCAGCAUACGAUAACAACAGAAGCAAAAGCAUCAAAUCACCAAAAGAAAAAAAAUAUUUAUAAAGUUCAUUAUUGAAAAUAUCAGGAGGAAUUGGACACUCUUCAUCCAGCUAAUAAUAAGUUGGUUAAGAUAAAUAGAUCAAACCUAAAAAUUAAUCAAUUGUAACAUUUUUUUUUUUGCUUAAAAUGUAGUGCUUGGACAACUCAUCAUUACUAUAAAUAAAAUAUAGCUAUCCAAUAUAAUUAUCCACAUAUAAAUUUAUUUAGAUGAAAAAAUAAAAAACCCCGAAUACAUAUCCGUUUAUAAAAUGGCCAAUUUUGCCCUAAAUUUUAAAAUUAUAGUACUUAAUUAACUCAGCGUAGUUCCUAUUUCGUCAUUGCUCCGUACAUACAUUAUAUAUGUUACAAUUGAGUAACUAUUGAUAUACAUAUUUUACUCUUAGAAAUUAUAGGGAAAAAUAAGUUACUUAGCAAAUAGUAGGUCUCUUUCAUAAAGUUACCUAAUCUGAAAAACAAUAAAAUAGAACUCUUAUAUAUGCAUUUCUCAUAUUUCUAAUCCAACUAAAUUACUUCAUUGCAUCAACACAAUUAAUCAACAAAAUAAUUAGAAAAAUACCGAUGCUGGAUUAAGUGCUAUAAUUUUAAAUUUUAAGAGGGCAAAGAGAACAAAAAGGCAAAGAGCAAAAGCAAAUAGUAAUAAUGAAUAUUCUUUUUAGCAUUUUAGCCAACAAUUUAUACAACCCAUGUAUCUAUAAAAUUAUACAAUCUAGAACUUACAUAUCAAUGUUGUUGUUGCUAUAAUAUAGGACUUGUGAUAGCAUUAUAGGAGGCCCAAAAACUUUCCACAAUUUUUGUCUCUUUUGUAGGUAACAAAGAAACAUAUAUAUACAUCUUUCUUUUGUAAACAAAAAAAGAAAAAAGAAAAGUCUUGUAGCAAAUAUUUUGCAGUCCAGUACACAGAAAAUUUCUUAACAUUGUUAAUAUGGUGUCAUCCUGACCGUUUGCCAAAAAAAAGUAAAGAAGCUAAAUAUAACUCCGCCUCCAAUUUAAACAUAGUUUGUUAUCACAUCAACCGAUCAAGAAAUUGAGAUGGACUGAUCUAUUUUAGACGGAUAGUCGGAUCAACACAACGUCACUGGUGCGUAAAAAUUUUCUGAGAAAUUAAAAAAGAAAAGCAAUAAAAACAUGAAGAUAAAAUUCCUCAGUUCUAUUGCACUUGAGCCCCGUUGAUAUUAAAAGACCUCUAGGAAGCCCCUUCCAUCUUUUGUAUUGUCGUGAGGCCGAAAGAGGACGGCUUUGUGAAUGAUAAAAUUGUGUAUCCAAAAGAGUGUGUUGAUGAUCUCACAUGGAUUCCACAGUUGUUGAUAUUCGGAAGUGUUCGAUAUAGUAGAACCACAGCCCAUUGGACGGCCGUCGGGUGAAGUCGUCAUUCGUGCUGUACACAAACUGGGCAGCUCCUGAGACAAUACACGCAUAAAAAAAUUGUAUGACAACAAACGUGAAAUAAAAGUUGAAGAAAGAAAUUACCUAAGCAUACUUAUAGAGGCUAACAUGGCCUUGCAGGAAAUUUAGAAAAUGAAAAGGUAUUUCUUCUAUCUAUCAGCCCUUUAAACAUGGAUCAUAUUUUUUUCUUUUUGGAUAAUUGUUGUUCCUGCCAUACAUCUAAGCACAUCAAAAUAAGGUGUGCUUACCGACCGUCCUUAGAGCAAGUGGCAAAGGGUUUGGUGGUUGGUACCCGAGACGCAAGUUCGAAUCCUAGUUGAUUCACAUUUUCAGCUAAAUUUAUUUCUAAAAUGAAAUAAACGAAGCGGGUAGCAUGCUGCUACCUUUCUCUCUCUCUCUCUCUCAAAAAAAAAAAAAGUAUUCCUUCAACUUCUUUUCCUUUCUCGGAUACAACUGAGGGAACAAACUUUGGAGUUACAUGAUCGCGACUUCGCACCCUGCCAGCACUAAGUCGAGGUAGGCCUGCCAUACUGAAACUCCUCUCCUCGUCUCACAUUCAAGACCAAAACGGAGGCCAAUCUCCGAGUUUUAUCGUGGUUCUGAACGCGCUCUAUCAGACUUCCAUGGACGGCCGACAUUCUUGCAAGUUAUGCUCAUCCAAACAGGCCUUGAUGUCCUCAGAUAGUUCAAACUUCUGUCAACAUCAUAAAUCUAAACACAUGUUGGCUCUGAAUUCGACCUUAUUUAUCAAAACUGAUUCUUCUUCAGCAAUUCUUUAUACUAUUCAAUCUUUUCAUUGCACUUUCCAGUCCCUGAUGGAAACUUGUGGGAACAUUCUCUGAAGACAUUAAACCUCUAUUCUGUAUAUCUUGUAACAGUUUCUCUCCCUCCUCAACCCUGUUUUCCCUAUAAAAUGCUUCAAUUAGCACAGUGUAUGUCGUUAUAUGUAAGAACCGAGAUUUUGGCAAUAUAGCUAAACUCUCAGUCGACAAUGUUUUUGUGUGUAAUUUAAUUACAAAAUCACUCAUCAAGUUUCGGGCGAAAAUGAGUUAAAACGGAGAUUCUAUGCGAUUUUCAAGUUUCACUUAAAGUGAAUAGUAAUUUGGUUUUCCGGAGAGCUCAAUGCGUAGAGUUGGCUUCUGGCUCGUACCGGACUCCGUUCAUAGCAGUCCAAUAGCUCGUUUCGACCGGUUCAGCUAUUCUAGAACUGAUGGCACUGACGGAUUUUGGGUUUGAUGCACAGAUUUCGAGAAAAUCUGAAAAUACAUGUUUCUUAUGUAAUUGUGCGUUAUUUUGGCCUUUGGGAGUGAGAAUGGAUUUCGUCGCGAAUCCGUGACCGAUCGAGUUAAACCAAAAGUGUGACUUUAUUGUCUCCGUCGUGCUGAUCGUACUGGCGUGAUCCUUUCGCAAAUCUGACAGACGGAUCUGCGGAGAUCGCGCGUUGAUCGAGGAGAGGUCGGUGUUGGCAAAAGGGUAAUUUCGUAAAAGUCGCGACAUUUUAUGUAUCGUUUCGCGUGAAACAGGACGUGAAGGGGCAUUUGCACGUUUUACUCGCGCUGUAGAGGACUCAAUAUAAAAUAUUGAGUUUAGAUGGGCUUUUUCGCAAUUUGGAGCUAGGUACAAAUGUAGCUAUCUAGGGUUUUCUAUAUUGGAACCCUAACCCUAGCCACCCAGUUGACCCUAGCGGCCCCCCCUUUGCUUCCCCUGCCCUAGCCGCACGCCCCUUGACUGCCGCCGACUGAUCUCCGGUCAGCCACCACCACCUCAGCCUCUUUUUCUUUCUUUCCCUCUCUUGUUUCCACUUUCCUCUCCACCAUCUUGGACCCGAGCUAAGGGGGAGGACUCGAACCCACCACCUUGGCCGCCUCCACCCUUCCCUAACCUCAGGCAGCUGGUCGCCGCCGCCCCGAACGCCUACGCCGAAGCCACGGCGACCCUCGCACGCCGCGUCCGUCGCCCCCGUGAGCCGCCGUCGCCGCCUCGGCCAACCUGUGGCCGCUCAAGGUCUGCUUGGGCUGAGCAGACCUUGCGAGCCCUCCCUGGCGCCGCCGCCGCCCGGAGCCACCCGUGCCGCCUCCCGCCGACCGCAGGCGACUCCUUGUCGCCGUCCCUGAGGCCCCGGCCGUUGCCGUGGCUGCCUGUCACGCCCUGGGACCCAGCGGAAGCCCGCCCGGCGCGUGCCCAGACCCGCCAUAUGUCUAAAACAUAUAAGGUGUCUAAAACAAAACGAUAAAUAAAACAGUAGAAUAAAGGAAUCUAACGAUAUCAGAGCAAAGUAAAUAACUAAGUUCUACACAGAGGGGUAAGUAUAAAACUGAAAUCCACUAAUAAAGCCAUAAAGUAGUAUAAAGAAAAUUUCAAAUACAAAAGUUAAACGAAGUACACAGGUGGUCUCUAUACAUAGUACAAAACUCUCUCUCUCACAAAACCAAAAAGGAAGAGAGUGACCACCUAGGAGCAACAGCAAGCUCCGCUAUCUAGCUAUGCAACUCCCUUGCAGCGAUCCCGUGCCUCCGUCGGUGCCGAAGGCUCUGAAAGAAACCAUAAAACAGAGGGCGUGAGAACUAUUAAAUAAUAGUUUCCAGUGGGCAAUUACCGACUUCAGUGAAAUGUUCCACUAGGCCCAAAAGCUACAAAAGAGGGUCAGGAUAAGUAUAAACGAAAGCAAAAUAGUGAACAAGUAUGUAACCAUGAGUACUAUUCUACCAUGAUAUCUCUACUUAGCAUGAACUGCAUAAGUAAUAAAGCAACUACAACAUGUAUGUACAUGAAUGUGACUAACAUGUAUAAGCAUGAGUAUGCAACCAACACGAUAUCCUCAAUGCAAAUAGCAAAGAUGUCAUUAUUUACUAUUCUAGUCAAUGUCCACUUGUCACUUUAACUGUUGAAAAUUUAAUCUUAUAAGACCCACCUGAAGGCUGUCUGGCAUGAAGACCCACCCGAAGGCUGUCUGGCCUGUAAGACCCACCCGUAGGCUGUCUGGCUGGUGUCGUGCCUAAUGGCCCCGUGGUAGUCAACAUCCCCACUCUUAGGAAUGAGCCUUUCCUACGACAAUCCACUUUGGCGCCCAAUUCCGCACGGCGAAUAUGUAUCGCGAUGGCUAACUCCGGAGUACCGGCUUGUAGGGAGCGACCCUCACAAGCAUGUGCGAAUGAGCACAAUGGCAAGCAUGCGUAUAAGUCUAUCUCAAGUCUCAAGUCUCAAGUCCUCAUGUCUAUGAAUAUGGAAUAUAUCGAAUGUCACAAAGGCCUAUCACUAUGUCAUCAUGUCUCUAACAUGGAAUAUAGUCGAUGUCCAAUGGCUUAUCACUGUGUCUCUAUAUUGCAUUUUCAUAGUUUACUAGUUUCAAGUGCCCCUUUAUGCACUUUUGUUCAACGAGUCCAAGCAUGAUAAUUAAGUUCCCGAAUGUAUAAUAUGAGUCAUUUUAAACAUAGAAGACAAGUUUUUCACUUGCUAAUGCAAUUACUUUUCACAUACAUGCAGCAUACCCAUAAGACUCUACUAUAUAGAGUGAAAUUUUCAUCAUACAUAAUGCAUGGAUUUUAAGUGAUCUAAAAUUCACAUGAUUCAUAUUUAGUAUGGAUUUGCAUUCAAAAAUACUUUACGACAAGUAUAGAAAACAUAGGAGCCAUUUUGUCCCAUGUUCAUGAAGCCAAACCCACCGAAAAUCGAAACUCUUCGUUUCGCCGAACAGAGGUGUCUACUAGUCUCCUAGCACCCUAAAGAUAUAGGAACAAGAGUUACACAAUCGAAACGAGUAUCGAAAAGCUCAAUCUUAAACCAUCUAAGCAUAAAGGGCAUAACUCACCUCUGGUGAUGAAAUCCCUUCCCAAACUUUCAAAGAGAGCAAUAACCUUUCCAACCCAAUCUAGAGGAAGAUUCUAAACACAUCAAUUAGGUCUCCAAGCCCUCAAAUCAAAAAUUUCCAAAAUAAACCCUAAAAUCCAAAUCUAGGGUUUCAUCUCCCAAAAUCUACAAAAAAUAGGUCUAGAGGGGAGAAAUAAGCAACUAACCUCAAGAGAAGGUCUAAACCAAGCUCCAAAUGCUCUAGAGUUGUAGAUUGAUCCUCUAUCGAGCUCCUAGCCCCAGCCCAAAGCCUCCAAUGGUGAGCAAAAGGGAGAGGAAGAUGCUCCAAGCCUCAAGAUCUAGCUCUCCUCCAACUCCUUCUUCUUCUCCUUCUUCUCCUUCUCUUUCUCUCUCUAGAGUGAGUAUGAGCGAGAGGAAAUGAGGAUGAGAGGGAGAGGAGAGGCUCUAUAAGCCUUCAAAUGUAACAAAAUCCACUUAGGUCCCUUUAAAAAACAACCUGUGCACUGCCCGGUCUGGGCAAGUUUCGCGCUGAGGGACUGGUCUCCCCAAUACCUGGGACCGGUCUCUUAGUUCGUCCCACAAAACCAACGUUCGGGAACCGGUCUCUCCCUGCCAGGGACCGGUCUCUCGGGCCCUUCACGCAAAAUACGUGUUCAGGAACCGAUCUCUCCCAGCUAGGGAUCGGUUGCCUCAAGCCCCUCCGCAGCACUGUUCUGAGGGGACCAGUCUCUCCUAUCAGGGACCGGUCCCCGAGAGUGAAAACUCUCAGAACAAAGUCAAAACUCUAGAGAUCGAACUUUUAGGUCGGAACACCAUCUACGACCUUCCACCAAGUGUGGAAAAGUUCGGAAUAUAUAUCAAACACUCGAACCUCACAAUUUGCAAAGGUCCAGUGUGCUACACCGCCUGUGCCCGUGGAACCCGACUCAGCCCGCGCGGGCUUAAGUUGUCCACCGCCGCCGCCGCCGCCGCUCUCAGCCGCCACCCGAGAUGAGCCCCGUACUCCUCACCUCCCCCGCACCCAUCGCUGACCCCCGCGCGUGCCGCCGUGCCGCCGGAAGCCGGCCGGAGCAAGCUUGCUCCGGCCAAGCCCGAAAUAGGGCUUAUUUGAGUGGGUUUGUUGUUCUGAGCUUCCUGAGGCCUCUCGAUCAAUACGGAAGGGAGCACGAUGAUCAUGACUCAUUGCUGAUCAUUGUGCUCACCUUGGUUUCUGUCGGGAAGGCCCCAUUCCGCUGUUUCGGCGAUGUUAACCCUGUUAGAGCCUUGUUGGCUACUGUUUCUGGUUUGCGUGCGUUGUUCCGGCGAUCCGAGGCUAUUCCGAUGCCUCCGGAGGUGAGCACGGUGAUCGCUGGUCAGUGCUGAUCACAGUGCUCACCUUACUUUGGAUCAACAGAGUUCGGUUAGUCCUGUUCGGCGCGUUUUUCCCCGACUGCGCGCUGUUCGCAGAAUCUUUGGGUUGCGCCCGCGCCUCCCACAGUGAGUCGUUGUGAUCUAGAUUGUGAGCACGGCCUCCGGCACAUCGAGACCUGUCAGUACGUGUCUUGGCAGACCUUGGAAGUCCUCGGUUUGCGUGAACGAGCCACUUAAUCGCUCAAAAUUACAUGAAAUGAUAGGAUUUCAUAUAAUUAGAGGGACUUUUGUACAAUCGUGCACCCUAGGGCCACUGUGGACAGUGUGUAUGAGUGUGUUUGACCUCUGGACUAAUUGUCCAUGAUCCUGUAGCUUUUGCGGAAAUCGAAAAGUCGAUUUCGGUGCGUUUUUCGGCGAAAUUCGCCGAAAGAACGCGGUUUCAGUUCGGAUUUCUUCCGACGUGGUUUGGUUGCCCUGUGAGUUGUCGCUGAGCCUUGUCAGCUGGUCACCAUCAUCAUAUAGGGGGUUCGAUGAUGGCGGGUGAGUGACGGUGGGUUCCGGUGUCGAAAUAGACACUUCCGGGAACCCGAAUUUGUACAAUUAUCCGGCGAUAAUUGUAUAGUAGUGUUACCUUAUGUUUGCUGCCAAGACAUCCAAAUCGGAGUGAUUUGUGGCAGCGGGUGACUCGUGAUACGAGUUGGUGAGUUUCGGUACACUUAGUGGGUCCCGAUAGAGUUCCGGUGUGGUUUUUGGGACUUCCGGUGGGUUACGGUGAUCGGUUUUGGGAAACCGAUUACGGGGAUCUUGUGUGGGGGGUUUGUGAGUCUCGUGCUUUGGGUUAGUGGUUUGGAUACUGACCUGGUAGAUCUUCUUAGGUCCGGUAGACUCUGUGCGUAUCCAGUGUUCCGACGCAACAGUGACAGGUGGGUGCUUCGAGUUGGUAGUCGGUGAGAUCGUUUCACCCUUCCUCUAUUCUUUCAUAUCAGUAUCGUAGUCUCUACAUGUCAGUUGAUUGUUUAUUGUUUGUUCAUCUAUAUCUCGUUGAUUGUAUUAUGUUAGUUGUGGAUAGACAUGUAGAGCAGGUUGCAUGUGUAUUGUAUCUCUGUGGACCUUGGGUUCAGGCAACACAUCGACUCCUUUGUCGUGUGUUUUGAUUUGGUUGAUCGUGGUUCAGCAUUGUACGCCCUUGCACCUGGCUUCGGCUGUUAGUUUUAUGCCCUAGAAGCCUAUCAGGCUGACGCAUUUUAUUUUCUAUGGGACAUAUUUUUGUAUUUAAUCUUUAUUAUUUAUAUAAUUGACCCUUUUAUUCCAUUCAUGUUAAAUGUGUCCAUAAAUCGUCCUUUGAAUUAAUAAGAUGAUAAUAUGUAUUCUCAAGAGUUGAGAAUUUGAGAUACAUAUUAUUGGUGAUUAAUUCAUAAAUGCUCUCAAUCGGAGGAUCAUCAUGGGGACGAUGAUUGAUCCGGUAAGAUUGAUGUGUAUGUCGCUUCCCUUUGGGAUGACGAAUCUCGAGUCAUCAGUGUGGGGACACAGGAGCGAACAUGCAGGUGGUUGUUGGAGAACAAGGGUACUGAGCGUGACCAACUACGAAUAGUUACAUGGAUGUCUACUCAAUCGUCAGUAACUGGUUCGAUGUUGCAGUGGUACAACUGAUCCUUAGACCUGUGACACCACGGCCAUUCAAUAUAAGGCUACUGUAGUUUGACUAUGCAACAAACUCUGAUCCUAGCCAUGGGUCUUAGUAGUAUAUGUUGGCUGCAGUCGGUUCAUAUCAGGAAUGGGUGUGUGUUUAUAGGGGAUCUAUCGCUCUCGGUAGAGAGAUAAUUAGUUCUAUGCUAUUUGUAAGGCAAAGCUCAGAAAUCCUCGGCCGGGGUAAUAUGGUGUAUGGAAAGAUGUUUCCAAGAGUAACCAUAAGAGCUUCUGUCUGAUCAAAUUUGUCAUAUGACGUGUGAUGGGGUUUGACGAAUAUUCUAUGACCUCCACGCAGUUGGAACUAUUCGAUAGAAGGAUUGUAUUAUACGGUAACUGCACCUAGAGGUUCAAUCCGAUAUUCACUUCUGACUGGAUUGCCACUACAUGCUGCUAGGCGUCACUGGUGGAUUGUGGGAACCAAUAGAAAUAAUUAUUAAUAUUUAAUUAUUCUAUUAGGGUGGAAUCAAAAAAGUUUGAGCCAUCGAAAGGAGUUUCGAUGAUGAUAUAGAUGGGGAUCGCAUCAUAUCUCACUACCAGACAGAAUUGAACCUAUUAGGUCACACACAUAAAAACUUGCGCAUGAUCGAUAUUUAGGAGAAGAUAAAAGAAGUUUAUCAGAUGGAUUAAUUACAAUUAUAAUAUAGUUAAAUACUAAAGUUUACUAAUUUGUUAGUAAAAGGACUAAUUUGCAAUUAUUGUAAAUUAGAGGUAUUUAUGUGUAAAAGUUGCAUGGUGUAUUUACUAAUCGUUAGUAAAUAAUAUGAGGACUUAUGUGUAAACGUUACACACGAAUCGAAUUAGAAUUAGGAUUCGGAAUUCGGUUAAUAUCAUAACCAACUUGCGGGUUAAUGGAUAAUCAAAUCGGAAUAGGAUUUCGAUUAGGAUUAGGAUUAUGUUAGGGUUUUCUCAUUAUAAAUAUAUGUCAUAUGACAUAUUAAAAGAAGUGAAAAUUUAAUACAAGAGAAAUUGAAAACCCUAGCCGUCAAUCCUCUUUUUUCCUCUAGUCCUCCAUAAUUAAUCCAUAGGUUUUGAUAUUCAAAAGGUUGCUAGCACAUCUAGAAGAUCGAUUCAUCUUCCUCAAGUCGACACAAGAGUUAAUUCGUGAUCGGAUCAUGGAUCGAAGCGGUCGUUUAAUUCGAUCAAGGGCGUGAUUUCGUGUGGACGCGAGUAGAGGCCGGGCGCGUGCGCAGCUAAACAAGGACGAACAAUUUUACCAACGAUUGUCGACUUCGCGGUGAUCUCGACCCGCGCGAGGUAAAAUAAAAAUAUAGAUCCUAUUUGAUUAGAUCAAUUAGAUCUAUUAUUAAUGAUCUAAAACGAAACACGAGGUGGUCUUUGGUUUUCAAGAAAAUUUUUAAUUGUGUUUUUUUCUUCCGCUGCGUACAUAUGAUUUUCUUACAUCGGCCAUGGCACCGGUCUCUUUUUGCCGGUUUUCGUUUUGAGCAUAUCAGCAUGAUUUAGUCACAGCACUGUGUAUUCUAGACACCAGGUUGGUUUGGCCACCAACCAAGGGGUGUACGUAUCCGGAUAGGUCGUUGGUGAUGCAUGAAUAAGUUGAUAGUGUCUGCUCUGUGACAGGCAACGCUUGAGGUCUGUGGACCAAUAUAGCAGCAUCAGAUUGGGUUUGAUUUCGGACUAUUUACUCUUGAGGCAUCCGUUCAGUUGAGUUUUUAUUACAGUAGUAGUUUCAUUCUUGCUCAGUUAUUAUUAUGUUUCUAUUACUAUUGUAGUUGCUCUUAUAUCGUAUCAUGUUCAUAUCUGUUGUUCUAUCUCCUUUGAUUUUCGGUGAUUAUGGCUUACCUUCGUGGCUCUGUCGUACCUACUGGGAAACCAUGGUUGCGGUUUCUCACCCCCAUUCCCCCCAGGUGACAUGGACCAGGAGUUGGUAUUUGGGCUCGAAGGGAGGACGAUCUAGCUAGACGGCGGUAGCGACCGUCACCCUGGUUAUAUUUCUUCCCGCAUUUAGCAGUUGUUAAUAAUAUAUGAUUCAGUUAGAUGUUUGAAUGUUUGUGAUUUCCGUUAUGCAUGAUUAGAGAUUUUGUGGGUCACUGGUUUUGGUUUUAUGGAUAUUCAGUUCUCGGAUUUGUGUAUUUAUACAUAUUUACGCAUCGUGGUUUUCUAUCCCUCGAGAUAGUUGAUUUUCAAAAUAGAGUUUCCGUGUGGGAAACAGUUUUAAAAAGGUUUUCGAAUGGUUUUUAUGAAUGAAUAAAUUAGAGUUUAAAAACAAAAGCUUCCGUGUGGGGAGCACUUUUAAAUAGAAUGUUUGUUGUAUUGUGCAUUGCAUCAUCCAGCGCCUAAGGAGUGCUUAGAGGCAUGCAUCAUCUCUAAGGAUCAUUAGCUGUAUGGAAAUGUAUAUCAUGAAUUGGUUGUUGAUUGGUAAAUGUAGGUUGUGGUUGAAAUCCUCUUGUAUAGUUUGUACGCCGUGCAAAUACAAAGGAGACUCUGUCCGAGUGGACAGAGGAACUUUGUAUUUGUGGCGGAUCUGUAUGUCACGUGGGCCAGGUUGAAAAAAAAAAAAAAUUGGCACGUCUUCCGCAACUCUGUUUCAAAAUGGUAAUGAAUUUUAAAAAGGCUUUUAAAAUCGGCCCCGGGGCGUGACAUUAUAUUAGGCCAAAGCUCCCUUUGUAUUAUUUCUUCGUACAACUUUAGCGCAUCAGAAACAUGGCUAGUUUCGCAUAGUUCGGUGAUAAGAACAUUAAAAGUCACGAUAUCUACUUUCAGUCCAUACCGUUCCAUCACAUCCUUCAAGUACAAAGCAUCAUCAAUUUUAGCUUCUUUACAAAGCCCGUGCAUGUGGUUUAAAAUGUAUCAAUUUAGUACUAUAUGAUUUCAUUUUUCUCUUUUCGUCAGCUUAUCCGUUAAUAUUUCGUUAAAUUAUAUAAAAAAAAACUUCAGAUACCCCACCUAGGUUUAUCGAAUAUUCAUUUUAGUAUCUUUUAAUUUUAACUUUGCCAUUAAUUUAACGAAAAAAUAUUAGUGGAGGGGAUAAUAAAAAGAACAAAAUGAAACCAUAGGGUACUAAAUUGAUACACUUUAAACCACACGGUACUAAAAUAAAAAAUUACGAAAUUACAGGAGUUGUAUUUAAAGUUUUCUAAAAUUUUAAAAAAAAUCGGCCCGUUUGUUGAAAUAAAUUUUGGUUGAUGUAAAAUUCAUGUAAAAAUUAUUUUUUCUUCACUGUUUAUUUUUAUAGAAUUUUUUUUAUUUCUGCGGUUGUUGUUGAAUUUGGCUCUUAUAUAAUUUUUAUAAAGCAUAGAUAACAACAAAAAAAAGUAUAAACAUAAUAUAAUUAUAUCCCCAACAAGUAAAUUAUUUUUCUUCAUACAUAUAUAUAUUAUAAUAAUACAACAAUAAAACUUUAAAGUAAACACCUUACUGCCGGCGAAAUCAAUUGUGAUAUUUUAGAGAGUUCGAAUUACGACGCAAUUCAGAUAACGGUGAACCGAACAAUAAAAAUGAGCAUUUACUGCAUCCCUCUCCACUUCGCAUGAAACAAACACCCUCUAAUCGGACAAAGAAAAUAGGCUAACUAAGAAGAACAUUUUAAUUCUCAAACUUUAAUGUAUAGUAAUUUUAAUUCUAACUUUAUGAAUUAUAUAUUCACUUUCAAUAAAUUUCUUCUUUUACCAGAACCACGUGCACUAAGUUAAUUUUUUUGCAUUUGAGACUUCAAAAAUCUUACUUUUGGUUUCGAGAAUGACAGCAUUCAAUAACAGCAGAAGCAAAAGCAUCACAUCGCUGAAAGAAAAAAAAAAUAUUUAUAAAACUCAUUAUUGGAAAUAACAGAAGGAAUUGGAUAUUCUUCAUCCAGCUAAUAAUAAGUUGGUUUAGAUAAAUAGAUCAAACCUAGAAAUUAAUCAAUUGUAGCAUUUUUUUUGCUUAAAGAGUAGUACUUGGACAAGCCUAGGCGUGUAAACGAGCUGAACACGAGCGAGCUGGGGCCGACUCGUGUUCGGCUCAUUUAAUAAACGAGCCGAACACGAGCUAGCUCAUUAAAGUAUCGAUCCAAAAAAUUUAGCUCAUGUUCGGCUCGUUAACAAAAGAACCGAACACGAGCUGGCUCACAAGCUGGCCAACGAACAAUAAAUUAAAAAAGAAUUAAAUUAAAUAUAUAUAAAAAAUAAAUAUAUAAAAUCUUAUCCAUUAAACUUGAUCUAAUAGUUGAACUUUAAUAUAAAUGAGUUAUUUUUGAUAAGAGCUUGCCUGUUAUAUUUUUAUUUUUUUGCUUAAAAAUUAAAUAAUUAAAAUACGUAUAUAUAUAUAUAAUUAUUAUAUAUAUAUAUAUGAUAUAAAUUAAUAUUAAAUGAUAAAAUAUAUGUAUUUCGAGUCGUUAUCGAGCCGAAAUGACUGAGCGAGCUGACCCUUCAGGUUGUUUUUCCCGUAUUUGCUCGUUAUUAAAAAGAGCGAAAAAUUAGCUCCUGUUUGGUUCAAUAUAACUUUGAACCAAACGCGCUUUAUAGUAAUGGGUGAUUAUCUUAGGGUGGCAAAUCAGUUUUCUCGUGUUUUCGCGAGCAGCUCGUCAGGCUCGUUGUGACUAAAUGAUGCGAUUCGAUUCGAGUUCAUUUCGAGACGAAACGAGUUGGCCGCGAACGGCGAUUUGGCUGGGAUUGCCACCUAAUAGUCAUUCUUUAUUAAAGGGGGUGUUUGGUUAAUUUAUUAUAUUAAGAGGGGAUUCAAAUAUAUCUAAUGAUCUUGGAUUUUUAAAAGAGGAUAUAUAUUAUGUUGCGAUUAGCACGUUUGGUUUUAUCAGAGUAUGUAAGCUGGAUGCAGUGUCUAGUGAAAUUAUAUUUGGUCGCUAAUAAUCAUAAUGUAGAAAAUAAAGUGUGUUAGUCGAUUAUCAAAGUUUGUCCUUUAACAUUAUUUUUGUAAAACUAUUGUUAUUACUAUUAUUACAAAAUUAAUAUUUUUUUACGUAAAUUUUUUAUUGUUGAUAUAAAUUUAAUUUUUAAAAUUUUAAAUUUAAAUUUUAAAUGUUUAAAUUGAAACAAAAAUUAAAUUUAGUAUAUUUUAAAUUAAGAAGUAUAAUAUAUUGAUAAUUUAUGAAAAUUUAAUUCCAAAAUAUAAUUUAUAAAAUUAAAAAUACUUAAAAAAUCUUAAAUUUUAAAUUUCAGAAUAUUAAGAUAUACAUUUGAGUUUUAAAUUUAUAAUUGGUAUUAUUUUUUUUAAAUUUUUGGGGCGGAGAAAGGUGGGUGGUGGGUGGGGAUAUUUAAAGAUUCUUAAAAAUUUGAAAUUUAAAAUCUAAAAUUUAAAUUCAAAUUUAAAAUUUAAAAUUUAAAUUUGAAUUUUAAAAAUUUAAAAAUUAAAAAUUAAAAAUUAAAAAUUUAAAUUUUAAAUUUAAAAUUUAAAAGUUGACAAUUCAAAAUUUAAAAUUAAAUUUUUAAAAAUGACGUAUUGAAACGGUUUCGGGAGUUAGAGGAGUAAAAUUGUCAUUUUACAUAAUAUGUAGUAUUAUCGGUUUUCAGUAAUGCAAGAUACACGAUCCCCUUCUCGUUAAUAUUUUCGGUGUAAUCCUGCUCGAUUUGUAAUGCUACAUUAACGACUAGAUUACAUAGCAGAUAAACCGCACAGUAAUCUUGACAGGAUUGUCUGUAAUCCUGUCAGGAUAACUCGAACCAAACGCACCCUAAAUAAAAUAUAGCUAUACAAUAUGAUUAUCCACAUAUAAAUUUAUUUAGGUGAAAAAAAUAAAAAAUCUCCCAUAAAUAUCCGCUUUUGAAAUGGCCAAUUUUGCCCUAAAUUUUAAAAUUGUAGUACUUAACUCAGCAUAGUUCUUAUUUCAUCAUUGCAUUGUAUAUAUAUUACAAUUGAGUAACUAUUGAUAUACAUAUUUUACUCUCAAAAAUUAUGGAAAAAAAAAAGUUAAUUAGCAAAUAGUAGGUCUCUUUUAUAAAGUUACCUAAUCUGAAAAAAUAAAAUAAAAUUCUUAUGCAUUUCUCAUAUUUUUAAUCCAACUAAAUUACUUCGUUGUAUCACACAAUUAAUCAACAAAAUAAUUAGAAAAGUACCGAUGCUGGAUUAAGUGUUAUAAUUUUAAAUUUUAAGAGGGCGAAGAAGAUAAAAAAGGCAAAGUGCAAAAGCGGAUAUUAAUAAUGAAUAUUCUUUUUAGCAUUUUAGCCAAUAGUUUAUACAACCGAUAUAUUUAUAAAAUUAUACAAUCUAGAGUUUACACAUCAAUGUUGUUGUUGUUAUAAGGGUUAAUUUCAUAGGUACCCUCUCACCAACCCCUAAUUACAUGGAUACCCUUCAAAAAUUAUUAAUAUCAAAAUUACCCUCCAAAUUUAGUAAAAUUAUCAAAACUACCCAUGUUACUUGAAUUUCAGAAAAAAUAUGGCCAAAAUACCAGUUUUACCCCUCUCACUCUUACAACAAUUAUAAUACAUAUUUUUUUAUAAGUAUUUUUUAGUUUAAUUUAAUUUGUUUUUUAUUUACAGUUUAAUUUGAUUAUUUUUUCAAAAAAAUUAUGACUAUGAGUUUUUUUUCAUAUUUGUCUUUUUAUAGUUUACUUUGAUUAUUUUAAUUAUUUUUUCAUUUAAAAUAGAAAACUAUCAAAAAAAAUUUUCAAAGAUAAAAUAGAAAACUAUCAAACUAUAUAUAACAUAAUAUAAAGAUUUAAAAAAUAAUCAAAGUAAACUAUAAAAAGACAAAUAUGAAAAAAAACUCAUAGUAAUAUAAAUUAAAGCUACAAUAAAGAAUUUUCAAACUACAUCUAAAACAAUAUAAAAAUCUUAAAAUAAAUCUAACAAAAAGUAUCUAAUUAUUCCAUUUGUAAUUAAACAAAUAAAAUGAAUAUAUACUAGUUAAAUGAAAUAAAAUAUAGACAUAUUAAACUAGUUAAAAUGAAGACAUAUUAAAUUAAUUAAAUUAAACUAGAAAAAUACUUAUAGUAAAAGUAUAUUAUCUUGGUAAUAAAAUAUAUAUUAUAAUUGUUGUAAGAGUGAGAGGGGUAAAAUGGCUAUUUUAGCCAUAUUUUUUUUAAAAUAUAGGUAAUAAGGGUAGUUUUGAUAAUUUUACUAAAUUUGAAGGGUAUUUUUGAUAUUAAUAAUUUUUGGAGGGUAUCCAUGUAAUUAGGGGUUGGUGUGAGGGCACCUAUGAAAUUAACCCUUGUUAUAAUAUAGGACUUGUGAUAGCAUUAUAUGAGGCCCAAAAAGUUUCCCCAAUUUUUGGCUCUUUUGUAAGUAACAAAGAAACAUAUAUACAUCUUUCUUUUAUAACCAAAAAAAGAAAAAAAAAAAAAAGACUUUAAACAAAUACUUUGCAAUUCAGUGCACAGAAAAUUUCUUAACAUUGCUAAUGUGGUGUCAUCCUAAGCGUUUGCCGAAAAAAAGUAAAGAAGCUAAAUAUAACUCCGCCUCCAAAACAUAGUUAUCAUAUCAACCAAUCAAGAAAUUGUGAUGGAUUGAUCUAUUUUAGACGAAUAAUCAGAUCAAUGCCAUGUCACUGGUGCGUAAGAAUUUUCUGAGAAAUAAGAAAAGAAAAGCAAUAACAACAUGCAGAUAAAAUCCCUCAGUUCUAUCGCACUUGAGCCCCUUUGAUAUUAAAAGACCUCUAGGAAGCCCCUUCCAUCUUUGCAUUAUUGCGAGGCCGAAAGAGGAUGGCUCUGUGAAUGAUAAAAUUAUGUAUCCAAAAGAGUGUGUCCAUGAUCUCACAUGAAUUCGGCAGUUGUUGAUCUUCGGGCGUGUUUGGUACUGUAGAACCACAGCCCACUGGGCGGCUGUCUGGUGAAGUAGUCAUUCGUUCUGUACACAAAACUAGGCAGCUCUUGAGACAAUACACACGUGAAUCAUGUUGGAUCGUUGACGCUAACCAUUAAUCUCAAAAGCUCGAGCUGUUAGAAAUACGCAACCAAUUCACUUAAAGCAUAUAGAUACAAUGCCCACGGGUCUCGAUUGUGACUCGGCCCAAUCAGCCUCACGGCACUUCAAACAUGACUCGACGCACUCAGUCUCACGCCAUUUCGAACAUGAUUCGCCCAACAUGGCCUCCCGCGACAGGGCAGAAUACUGGCCCAUUUAAGCCAGCAAAUCCUAACAACAGACCGACUUCAAAUGCUCCCUCCAAAAGUGUCACGUCCUGGACUUCAGCGGAAGCUUACUAGUCGCGUGCACAGAUCCGCCGUGUACAUCACAACCACAAGUAUAUACCAGGCGUCUACAAUUCACAUAGUAAAAACGUUCGAUUCUAACUAGGUAAUCAGAGCAUAACUUACUAAUAUAGUAAACUCAUACAAAACAAAACCUUAUUACAAUUUAAAAGUAAAAUGCAUUCUACAUAAAUCCAACAUACAACAUUGAGCUAAACUCAAAAUAAACUAGUAGAGGUUCAUCUAUAUAACAUCGAGAAGGUUCUAAUUAGCCGCUGACCCCUCGCCAGGAAUUUCUAGUCUUUUCCGCUGUGGAAGGCUCUGUAAAAACAACAACAAAGAGGGCAUGAGAACUAUUAAACAAUAGUUUCCAGUGGGUAAGCCGCCGAGAGUGGCGAAGUACACCACUAGGUCAACUAAGGCAUAAGUAUAUAGCAAUGAGUAAACAAAGUAACAGUAACAAUUAAAGAAAUAAUUUAAUUAUACUAUGCCUCCAAAAGAUAUGUAUGAUAAUAAGUCCAUAUACUUGCUCAUACAAAUGCAUUUUAUUAGUCAUGCUUUAUGCAGAAUAUUAUCAUGUUCAUUAGUUAAUGAUAUCAUGUAGCCAUUUCCUACACUAACAAGAGUGUAAACAUUCAACUAUUGUUACAAAACUAUUAAUCAACAACGAUGUCAACCUCUUUGGAUAUUCAUUACUAGAUAUACUUAACCAAUGACAUAAAGUGUCCUUAUUACUAUGUUCAUCUAAGGUUAAGGUAACUCAUCAUAACCUGACUCAUAAUAGACUUACACAGGAUAAAGUCAUAGCCGCGCCGUGCCUAGUGGCCCCGUGGAAGUCAACACUACCCAUGGCAAUCCACUUCGACGCUCAAAUCGUACAUAUGCGAGCAAUCUGUCACUAAGCCACUCCGGAGCGCUGGCUUAGGGUGCGCGACCCCUACAAGCGUGUGCGAAAGAGCACAAUGGCAUGCAAACUGUAAUCCAUAGCACAAGUAUCAUGAUGUCAUCAUGUCUCAAACAUGGAAUUUCAACUCGACCCAAGGUCGACACUAUAGUACUAAAUCGUAAGCCACUAUCAACUAUUUGUUGACAUAUUUCUACUAAUAGCUAGUAUAACUCAAGCUAGUAUAUACUUUACCUCAUAGUGGGCUAUACCCACACCCACUCACAUAAAGUUCUCUUACUACUCCCUAUACAUAAGGAAAGUGGGUUUCUAAGGUCAUGUCUAAUGACUCGUGGCACAUAUUCUAUAGUUCAAUAUAAUCCUUUACUACUUGGAGUAAACAAGUAAUAUACGAUUACAUCUACUUGAUCAUACAAGUAAAUCAUCAUGUCCAUUUCUAUUUAUUCUAUUAGAACAUAUUCAGUAGUAUAACAUACAAGUUAUGUCAUAAUGCUAAAUUCUAAUUACUUAACUGGAUCAUACAUCAAUGUGAAGUUCAUGCCAGUACUAUUAGAUGAAAACAUUAACCAACUUGUCAAUUCAAGUAUGCAAGAAAGCAUCUAUAGUACUCUUUACAUGUUUUUCAGAUGAAUGUAUAAGUAACCUUACUAUGCAUGAUAUACUGCCAGUUCCAUCAUCAUAUCACUAACAUGGAAUUGCAUAUUUUAACUCGAGAUAUCAUAUCAUACUAUCUCCUUCCCUGAAUUAUCCAACUGAACCACAUGUCAUUCUCAUGGUUCUACAGUUAACUCUAUUGACUAGUGUCAAAUUUAACUUGUCUACACAAGUUUACUAGUAUCAGAAAUAAACGCUAACAGAGCAAGUACGCUGUAUAAACUAAAUGGUUUCUUAACCUUUCCUCUACUACAUAGAGGUUUUAUUCUAUUCCAAUCAUAUGCAUACUGAUACAUGCUCCAAUCCAUUCAAAUAUACAUAGGUUCACAUAGAUAAGCAAUAAUUCCAGUUUUAUAAUGUCAAGAAGACAUAGAGGGAAUUCACCCAUUUUGGAAAGGUCAGACCUACAAGUAGUCGUCAACUCAUGUCGACCCCACGAACAAGGGUAAUCCGCAGCUUCCAAGUACCCUAGCAAUUAAAUCGAAAAUCAGCUAAAGUUGACUUUAUACCUGUAAUAAAACCUCACGUAAUCAUCUUAUCUAGGUAAAUUCUUACCUAGUAGAGUGUUAAUACUUGAACCCUCACUUCGGAUCAAGGUAGAACACCAAUUCCAACCUUUGAAAGCUUCCCAAAUUAACUCGAAAAGAUCAAGUGGUCCACUGUGAACCUGCUACAAUCUGCUUCAAAAACAGUAGUAAUACACUUGCAUGAUCACUUAAUAUAGGUUAACGUCACACCUAGGUUUAGACCUAUGUUAAACCCUUACUUCCCUGCAGGUUAGGGUACCCUAAACUCACCUUUGAUGACCACAAGCUCAGCCCAAAAGGGUCUAAUUCUCUGCUGCGAAUCUGCGGCGAAUUACAUAAAACUGCAUUAGAGAUACAACCAAUCCCUUCAACCAGCAAGUUAGUAAACAAUUUACCUUCCAAUAAGUUUAGUUCAGCUCAACCCCUGAUUGAAACACCUCAAAUUAAAUCAGCUCAUAAGAGUCCCAAUAUUCAGUUCAAAAUAAAUUCCAAGGCUGCUGUAAACAUAAACCAAAAUCUGCAUCACUACUUCACCAAUAGGCCUACUAUAACAUCAAAGAUAGGAGAAGUAGCUAGCUAAUCACCUUUCAAGCUUCACUUUAGCUUUUUCUCUGGUUUAGGGUUGAAGAACUACAGCCCAACUCUGCUUUUUCAGCUGCUGGGACCUCCCCUCAAACAAGCUCGCAACAAGAAACCCAAAUUAUCAUCAACUUCACUACUAUGGCUAAUAACUUGAGAGAAGUUGUGUAUCUCACCUUAUCAAACUUCAACUUAGUUUCCUACUGAGUUAGGGCUGCGAAAAUACCUUUCUCAAGAUUCCUUCUCACCUUCCCACAGCUGCUCCAAGUCACUCAAACCAGCAAGCACCAAAAAGAAGGAUUAACUAAGCUCAAAUCUAUCAAUCCUUGCUUCAACAUAGUAAUCCUAGAGAGAGAAAGAGAGGAAAGGGUUUAAACCUUAUCCUCUGAGCUCUAGCAAGCCUUAGUCAUCUACUGGGGUCGUGCUGGGCUUUAGGGAUAAGCUUAAGAAGUGAAAAGACCAAAAAAACCCUGCUGCCUCGCAGCUGUUUGCACUUGUACCGGUACACAAUGAAGGUUGUACCGGUACACUAUACAAAAAUACAGAAUCUGCAUUUUGCAAUGCACUUCUGCUCUUCCGACCACUUGAUCACUCUUUUAACUUAUCAAAAACCUUACUACCACUCUUUAAAAGAUGUAGGUUAGCUCCCAUUACCAAUCCCACUCAUCAAACUUCAUAAUUGGCCAAAUUCGGAAUACUACAUUUGAAUAGUACAUUUACAAUGCACUUUUCCACUUUCAAUUGUCAGUUUGCUCCAGUAACUUGCUGCAACUUCACGACAGCCCUUCAAAAGUUGUAGAUAGUUCCAAUUUCUAUUCCAACACUCGAACUUCGCAAUUUGCCAAAGUUCAGUGUAUUACAAAAAGUCCUAACUUCGAAGUUUUGUGGGCGGCCGUCGAGUGAAGCCGUCAAUUCGUGCUACACACGAACUGGGCAGCUCUUGAGACAAUACGCACAUGAGUCCCAAUGACAGACUGACUACAAACGCCCCCUCAAAACGCCCUAACCUUGGAGUUUCAUGCGCACAUCACUUCAGCAGGCGACUUCAUCCUUGCUUUUCAUCCCACUUUUCGGCAAUCCUGCUGAUAAAGCAUGGUAUUAUUUCUCUGCAAGGAGAGGAAACAUUGAAGAGUAGAUAGAGAACUAAAAAAACUUCUUUCUGUAGAAAGAGAUCCAAAUCAUCUAACUAUAAAAAUUUAGAGCACUGAAGCUUAUCUCAGGGAUAAAGAAAUUAGUUUAAUAAAGUUUACUGAGGAAAAAUAUGAGUAUCUACGGCAAAAAAUUCUAGGUUUUUUCACUAGCAAUACUUAGUGUUUGCCAAUUUAUUGCCUUAAGCUGUGAGUGAUUACUCUGCUGUUAGAUUCAUAAGUACAAAUGAGUUUACCUAUUCAGCUAGUAAGGUGCUUUCAAUUGACAGGGGUAAACUACAGUUUUGGUCCUCAAACUAUCAGUUGUGUGACACUUUGGUUCUUAAAUUUUAUUUUGUUACAAUCUCUAGCUCGAACUGUAGAGUACCGGACCUUAGCAAACAGGCAAUGUUGCAUUAUAGGUUGCUAGUUAGCAUGUUUUUAGAAUGCUGGACUAAGUUGGAACAGUUUUGGCGUGAAAUAAAUAUGAAAACGGACUCAAAACCGAAAUAAGCUCAAAAUGUGCGGUUGGUUGCACUUUCGGAUGCCCAAAAGUGGUUUAGGGCGCCCAAAUAUAGUGAGCUGAGGACUUUGGAGGUUUCGGACCCUGUUUGGGAUGCCCGAUUUGGGCACUGUAGCAAUCUGAAAGUUUUGUCAUAUGUGUGAUAUAACUAGGGCGGUGCAUACGAAUACCUGGUGACUCACGAUGAUUUAGGGUGCAGGUUUCAGGCGCCCAAAUUGAUUCGGGCACAAUUACCGCAGGUUUUGGACUGUCGAAAGUGGUGAAGGAACACCCAAAAGGCAUGUCGUAGGGGUUUUGAACGCCGGAAUGAUGAUUCCGGGCUCCCAAAACUCGGAUUUUGGUUGAAUGUGGGAUUUUCUGAAUUUGGAGACCUUUCAUGUAAUUGUUACUUUAUAUAGUGGGUGACAAAUAGACUUCUCUUUCAUUCUUGCUUCUUCUUCUUCUUCCUUGUACGUGUUUUAGAGAGAGAGGGAGAGAGAGAGAGAAUGUUGGAGAUCCAGGAGGCGAUCGACGACGCGCACGCGCGCACGAUUUUCUGUCGCAUCGGAUUGAAGGUUAGUAUCUAUAACAUAUUAUAAAUUCUCAGUUUAUGUAUAGGUGACACGACUUGGGGUGGGCCCCACCCCAUUUUUUGGUUGGGCAUGGGUUCGGACCUGGCCUACUUUUUUCUUUUUUUUUAAUUUUGAUUUCUUUCUCUCUCUAUUGAUUGGAACAUGAGGGAUUAAAGUUUUUUUAAUUCAAUUUAAUACUCUUCUCUUUUAUUAUAAAAAUUUUAAAAUAUAUAAUUUUUUACACAUAACUUUUAAAUAAUUUAGUUACAUGCAUUACAUAUAAAUUUUUAUAAUAUUGAUCACGUAGUAUUGAUUGUACAAUUAAAAAUGAAAGAGAGAUUGAUUGAUGAAUUACUUAUUUUAAUAAAUUUAGUUGUAAAAAUUGUAUAAAAUAUACUAAUUAAAUCUGUAAAACUAAACGACGCAUUCAAAAUUUUGAAGUCCAAGUAUCAUUGAUUAACUCAAAUCUAACAUAUUGAAAGGUUGGAUAGUAAAAAACAAAAUUUUGAAAAUUUAGAUUGCUUAUUCAAAAUGGUUCAUAAUUCAAGAAAGUACCAUACAUUUUUAAUUUUAUUUUAAUAUCAAACUUCAAUGUCAUAUUUAUAAUCUGAGGAGCAAUCAAUUUCGCAUUUAAAAUCUUUUGAAAUAUCCGAAGUAUGAUUGGUCGAAUUUUAAUUUUAACAAGUAGGCAUUCUAAAAUAUAUUAGAUAGUUUAAUAGCUUUUUUUCCUUAAACGAAAUUAAUAAUUGAAUAAAACCAAUCGAUAAUCAACUCUAUCUCUGUCUGGAAUAAAAAUAAAAUAUAAAAAUACUGAAUUACAUUUUUGGUCCUCAAACUAUAUGACGCGUGAUACUUUAGUUCUUAAACUUUAAUGCAUUAUAAUUUUUGGCUCAAACUAUAAGACACAUGAUACUUUAAUUCUCAAACUUUAAUUAGUUGUAAUUUCUGAUUCAAACUAUGAAGUAUACGAUAUUUUAGUCCUUAACUUUUACUGAUAUUAUAAAUAUAAUUUAUUAUUCUUAUGAUUUUGUCCUUAUUAUUUUCUUACUCUUCUUAUACUUUUAUUUUUAUGCUUUUACUGCAACAGCUGCAGUUUCUUUUUUAGUUUUUUUUAUUUUAUUCUUUUUUAUUCUUUGACUCUUCUUUUAUUAUUUUUUGCUAUUUUUUUCUUUAGCUUUAUUUAUUUAUUUGUUUCUGCAAAAUCGAUCUGCCACAACGCGCAUGUGCCUUCACUAGUUAAAAUAUUAUAUUUUCGUGAUUAGAAUUUUUGAGGUGAUUUUAGGAUGUUUUUAGGAGUACAAAUUGGAUGGAUUUUUGUGGAAUUGGAUUAAGAAAUCAUGUUAUAUGUGAUUUAGGACCCGGAUUAUCGCAAAUUUUGCCAUGGGUUUUUCCGAGCUAUUUGUUGGUGUUGUGGUAGCCGUGGGAGACCGUAGUUUGGAGUACCUCGUGGGUUCCAACGUCCUUUCCUUUCCGGGAAUAGCAACCUAAGUGGGUUCCUUGUCGUCGAAAACGGCGCAUUACCUUUUAUGUCUAUUAUUUUGCAUGCUUGAUUUUGAUGUCAUCAAAUUCUUGGCCUCCGUUUGGUUGGGGGUUAAGGGGUGGAAUAAUCCCUUAACCCCCAUUUUAUUUCCAAACACUUCUAAAAAUGGGUGGGGUUAGCUAACCCCACCUCAAAUGGGUUAUUCCGGAUUAGCUAAACCCACCAAACCCCAACCAAAUACUAUUUUCUAUUCAUAAUAACCCACUAUCCUUCUUAUCCCACCUACUCCAACCAAACACUAUUUUUCACUAUCCUCAACUAACUCCAAUCCCCAACCAAACACAAAAAUACUCUAACCCUACCUUAACCCUAAACUUAACCCUAUCCCUGGAAUAACUAGUUUUUCCUUAACCCCGAACCAAACGGUAGCUGAGGGUAUUACAGUGUUAGUAAAAGCAUGUGGAUAUUUCACUGAACAUGAUAAAUUAUGCUUAUGUAUGAUAUAAUGUUUUGGUCUUUACCGGUAUAAAGAUUGUUGGGUUCGUUUGAUUAUUUACAUGUAGGUUCAUUUGAUUAUUUGGUUGGAAUAAUAGUAGUUGGGUUGCAUGCAUGUAUGGACUUAGGCUUUAUAUUAUGGUAUUUUAACAGUGCGGCAUAUGGCUAGAUAAUUGAUGUGUUAUAGUCAGGGGACCUACGUGGUAUAAUUAUGGUUAGUCUAUGUGGUGCUUGAUGGCAGGUGGGUUUAAAAGUUUAUGCAUGUAUAUAUGUGGGUUUGUGGUUUUACAAUGCUAUAGGGUUGCGUGAGGUUAUUUAUGUUGUGUUGGGAUAUGUCUAUAGAUGUGGUUUUUAUAAUAUGGUACAUGCUAGUAUGUGCUCAUAUGAGGAUAUGUAUAUUGUGUUGAGAAUUGUCAAUAUGGUGGGACGUGCAUAUGUUAUGGAAUAGUAUUAUUAUGCCAGAGACAAUGGGAUAGUGUAUUGUGCCUGGGACAACGUUACUGUGUAUUGUGAUCUUUUUUAUCAUAGUGUUGACCACAGCCUGCAAGCCACAUUGAGCUUAACAGUUGUUGUACUACUAUUCGGUGGGUCGCGCCCUACAAGUGCCCCUCCGGAGGUGUGGCGAUUGGCAUAGGCAAGCCAGACAGACAUACAGUAGCCUCGUGCAGUGGGCUUCAACCUUGGCGGUAGUGGUGGCUGGCACGAGGCGGCGCAGGCUUGACCGAAUUAUUGAGUCGGUUAGUUUAUGAUUGGGUUAGUAUAUGAUUGGGUUAUAUGGUACAUUUAGUAUGGUUACUUUAGUUGAUACAAGAGAACCAUUGAUUGUUAUACAUUGAUUCACAUAGAGACAAAUUACUUUUACUGCUUAUGUUGACCUUACUGGAAGUAUGAUAGUAUUUAUCUUUCUAUUCAUAUUAUGCUCUGUGACUCAUUCAAUUAUAGCUUUGUAGUAUCCGGGUAGAGGGGCAUGAUAGACAUGGUGAGUCUACAGUUUAGUGUUUUUCUAUUCAUUCUCUAUUUUGCCUCUGGUAGACCUAGUGGGUAGGUUGUGGUUGUUGCCGAUCAUACCCACUGGGAUCUACUGUCUAAUAGUUCUUUUGCCCUCUUAUGUUUUACGUUUUAGCACCUUCUAAGCCAGUGUUGGAUCGAGGUAAAAGGAUACGCCAUAGUUAGCAUCUCCUACCAUAUUCAAGUGUGAUAGAGGAGACCACCAGCUAGUUAGUUUUAAAUAAUAUACUAUACAUCCAGACUGGCAAGAUUAGGGCCUUUUAUUUGUAGCUAUGUUUUGGGAGUUGACUAUUGAUUACUUGUACAGUGAUAGUUAGUAGAUUCAGUUUCUAUCUUGCUCUGAUACAUGAAUAUUUAGUUGUGAACUCCUAGGAAUUGAUUGUAUGCUAGUAGCAGACUCCUAGGAUUGCUUCUAGUUUUGUGGGACGCUUCGUAUGUACAAGAAAUUUUUAUAUAUACGACGGUCUGUUAACAUAUCGGGAGGCUUCCGCUGUGAAUUCAAGACGUGACACGAACCUUCUAAAUUACUACAAUCAAUCCCACAAUUCAAAUUAAUCGACUAAAUAUUGAUGUAGCAUUAAUAUGAAAAAGAUAUAGCAACGUGGUGAGUGAUAAAGCGACAACAAUUAAUAUGCCACAUCACUUCCACCUUAGUGACACGUCAACAUUUAGUCAACUAAAUUUGAUUAUGAGAUUAGAUUGCAACUAUUUACAAAGUUUGAACCGAAAAUUCCAAUAAGCUAAAAGUUAAGUGUCAUGUACCUCAUAGUUUGAGGACCAAGAGUGUAAUUUAGCCUAUUGACUUUACAUGAAAAACAAAGAAAAGAUGAGUAACACUUGGUAAAAUCUAUCUAUCUAUACGAGUAUAUAAUUCAUGAGUCUGUCGGUGCCACGUGUCAUUCUCUCGGCUUCUUUCACUCCUGACUCUUCCUCUCCCUCUCAACACCACUCCUUCCUAUUUCGUUAAUUAAUCUUCUCUCCCUCUCACAUCUCCACAGAAGGUCACCCGUCUUUUUAAGAACAGGCAUCUCUCUUUUUCCCUCUCCUCUGACCUCUCUACAACCUCCCUAACCCCACCCCUACUUCCCCUCCCUUAAAAUCUAAUUAUUACCAUCCUCCUCCCGGACCCAAUUAUUACUUAGACACUCAAUACUUCUCCCACCCUCUCACGCCUCCCACUCCGGCAGUUCACGGGGGCCUUUCAAAUCGUCUCCAAGCUUAAUGGUUAUUUGAUUCAUGAAAUCAAGGUCCAAAUGACACACAGAGAAGGGUCACCGGAGGUGGCGGUGGUGGUGACGGAGGUGUAGAAGGCGGCGACGGGGAGGAGGAAAAAGAGGAGCAUCGGAAGUUGGGGAUGGAUCUGACUCGUAAGGAUUGUAUCGUCAAGCGCAGGCUGCUCUACUCAGCUGCAACCCUCAUCCUCUGUGUCACUGUGUGUUAAUGCUGUGUUCUCCUUUUGUUUAUUUUUAUUUUUUAAUUUUUUAUUUAGUAGAGAGAGCAGAGGGAUCAUUUAGAGGCGAUGGAAGGUGCGGAUAGCACACGCGAGCGCGACAAGAUUAAGACUUCGUUCGUUUGAGAUUGCGAAAAGAUUACGUUACGUGCGGUGAGAAAGUACGUCAGAAAAAAUACCAUAUUUAUUUCCGUACGUAAUAUUACGUUGUUCCGCAUAUCGCGAUGAGUCGGUUACGAUAUAUUUUCUACGAUCUCACCGGAAAAUGCAAAAACAUAUUCCUAUAUGCUUUUUCCUCAACUCCAUUUUAUCUAAUAGCGUUAGAUAGAGAGUUCACCCAUGCAUUGCAAAGAAGAAUUUGGGGUAUGAGGUGGAAUAUUCAAGAUAUUUCUUUUUCAAAAAAAAGAUUAUAAAAUUUUUAUAAAAUACGUUGGCAAUUAUUUUUUCUAAAAAAAGUUAUUGUGCCUAAUUUGGAUUUAAUAAUUCAGACAAGUUUUGUACAUUUUAAUUAUUUUUUCCCAAUGUCUUUUUCUUACCAAACAAAUAAUCUGCCCAUAGGAGUCUUUGAAAAAUAACAAAAGUCAAGAUAUCGAAAUUUGAAUUCAAAAUCUAAAAUUAUAAGCUGAAAUUUGAAUUUAAAUUUAAGUUUGCAUUUUGGAUUUAAUUUCGAUAUUUAUUUUCAGUUUGAACUGUGAAUUUGAAUUAUAAUUCCAAAUGUCCACUUUGAAUUGUGAUUUAAACUCAAACUGAAAUUUAAAUUUAAAUUUCAAUUCAAAUUUUGAAUUCACAUUCGAAUUCAAAAUUUACAAUCAAAUAGUAAAUCAAAUUUUGAUUCAAAUCAUGAAUUCAAAUUUUAAGUUGAAACUUGGAAUUAGAAUUUACUAUCAGUUGUAAGUUACAAAACUAGCACUUUAAAUUUAAAUUACAAAUUUAAUUGUGUGUCUUUAGUUCUAAUUAUAAAUUUAACUCAGAUUUAGUUUAUAUUUGAAAUUUAAAAUUAAAUUUUGAAUUUCAAAUGUAGAUUUAAAUUUAAAUUAUGAGCAAUCAAAUAUCAAGCAAUCGAAAUAACAAAACUUCUUUGUAAUUUCGAUUGUUUGUUAGUGGAAGUGGACAACAAUAAUAUUCAAUCACAUGUCCAAAAUUAGAACAAAAGCAGUUGAUCUAUAGAGUUGUAUCAAGAUCAUUAUUUGAAAUUAAGAAAGUAAAAAAGUGCUGGCAUUGGAGAUUUUAAUAGUGUCUACCAGCUGCGAAGCGCAGGCUCUUAACUAGUACUAUCCAAACCGGAGCCAACAAUUAUAAUAAUCAAAACAAGAGGCUUAAUUGUUUGUACCGUAAGCGCUCAACAUGAAAACCUACGGCAAUUCUGAAUUCCAACAGUAUAGGUGUGGUUAUUAUCAAAUAUAAUUUGUAAAAUAUGAAAUAUCGAUCAUAUAGAUGAUUUAUUCGGAACUUUUGUCUACUUACGCAUCUAGAAUGCAACAUUAACCAUGUGUAGGACAAUUCAUGAAGUGUGCCUUUCGGUUAUUUUGUUGCUAUAGUAGCAGGCGUUUUAGAAAAGUAAAUGUUUCCAUGGACAAGUGUAAGUUAAAAUUAAGUAUAUCCAUAAAAUAAACAGAAAUAAAAAAAAAAAGAAAAUCAAAUAAUCUAAUUAGUGACAAACAUCAUAUAACCUUGUAAAAUAGUUAUUUCGACCAAAUAUAUGCCCGGAGAAGAGCCUUAAAGUGAACAUCCGACUUAUGGCAUCGGAUUGAAAAGCUGUUAUGUUUGAGAAAGCGAAAAAGCUAAGAAUUGUGUUAUUUAUUCGAAUAUUCGCUACUGAAAAUAAAAAUAAAGCUCGUUCGCAAAUAUGAUACCUUGAAAAUAGUUGAUCCUUUUCCUCGCUUAAACCACCAGCAUCAUUUCCACUGGAUCAGGAUUGCUUUGUUUAGGUCAAUGGGCAAUUCUAUGCAAUGUUAUCUCAAAAUUCGGCUUGUUUAUUUCUGUGGGCACAGAUAGAUUGACCUGCAGGUGCACAUACGAAACAUGAAAAAAAUGAACAGUAAAAGCGUAAAGAAUAUGAAAGAAAUAAAAGGGUAUGGCAUAAAAAAUUCGAGAAAAAGGAAAACAAUAAAAAAUUUGGCAGACCUACGUAAGUUUACUACAAAAUCUGUAGCAUAAUAAAGUUCAUGCCAAAGUUUCAAGUAAUCCAAUCCAAGAAACAUAUAGUGAUAAAACAAUAAUAAAGAAUGAAAUUAAACCACAACGUUUAUUAACGAAAUUUGAUUGCAAAGUGCAUCAUCCUAUGUUGUCGAGUCACUUAUAUCUAUAAAACAAUGAGUAGCACUAAGGAGGCUUGCUCACGUACCGAUUUGAUGGCACUUAGUCUUCUGGCAGCUGCAACCUAUGCAGGAUUAUCAAAGGACUGCAUCUGCACAAGCAACCAAAUAUCCACAGGUCUUUAGAACAAAGAAGAAAAUCUGAAGAUUUUAGGUUGAAAAUAUCUAAAACUGAGUAGAUGGAUUGUAACUUUAGUAAAUCUACACUUCAUAACAAAGAAGUUUGGUUCAGUUAGGUACAGCACCAGUAGCAGAUUUGUAUGAAAACCAAUGAACAAUAGAACUCAUGUAAUGGAAAGAUUUUAGAUCUUGUUCAUGUACAAUAUAUUAUGAUACGGAGGGAAAAAACAAAAUUGACAUCAACAAAGUAUCUUGCCGCACAGAAAUGCUAAACAGGGGGGGGGGGAAGAAACAGGUUGCUUGUUCCUGCUAUUGCAGUUGUAGAUCAACUUAAAUGCUCUUAUCAUGAAAAUCUUUACAAAUUAAUCCACAGCGGACCUAUGUUCCCCACUUUGUUGAUGAUAUAAUAUUAUGGUGACAAAAGGACAGUAUGAAGAUCAUAAUUAAACAAGGAUUUCAUUGCCCUGGGACGGGGUUAUGCCGAGAACUUGCUGGUACGGUACAUUAUACUGCAUGAUGUACCAUACUGGUUCGUGCCGGUCACAAAAAUACGUGUGCCGAGACAUUAUGGUAUUAAAUAUUUAUUUUCUUUGGUACUCUAAUUGCCUAUUAUAUAUUUCUAUCAAAUCUUUUGCCUUUUAUUGAGAUAACUACUUCUAAUUUCACAUAAAAGAGAGUUUGAGUGGUGCUAUCGGCACAGGAGUCAUAUCAUGCCGAUAUCUUGUCAGCACCGUACGGCAUGGUGGGCACGUCCACGUCGCUUGCCGAUGGGCACUUAAAUCCUUGUACAUAUAUUUUUAAACAUGUCAAGAAGGAACUUCAAGCAAGAAUAUAUUUUCAGCCAUAGAUACACAAUCAUACUAGAUCUAGUUAAUCCAUAACAAGUGAGAAAACAAUUCAAGAAACAACAUUAGAUUUCUCGAUGAAACUUUCAACGACAUGACUAACAGGUUUCUAUUAAUCUUAUCAUACAUAUACAUAUAUACAGUACUUACCUGUCCAUAUAAAACAGCAUAGGAAGAAAUUAACCUUUUGCAUGUAAUGCACAAGCCAAUUAUUAUAAGUAUAUGCAGCUAUAUGAAAAUAUGUUUGCUAGCAAAUUGAAAGAGAUUCUGUAGAAGUCGACCUUGUAUAUACUGAGUGACUCGAACUAACAUCUAAUUUAGCAAAAUAAGGAACAAUUCAAAAAUAAAUUACGAUUUGAAUGUCUAAGUUACAUGUAAGAUUAUUAGCGAAAUUCAAGAAAUGGUGUACUUCUGUUUCAUUAUGGGUUACAUUGAAGAGAAAACUAAUCAGUAAGCACAGCUUUUUUUCUUUUUUUUUUAAGCAGGUUAAACAAAAUAUAUGACAACAAAUGUGAAAUAAAAGUUGAAGAAAGAAAUUACCUAAGCAUACUUACAGAGGCUAACAUGGCCUUGCAGGAAAUUCAGAAAAUGAAAAGGUUUUUCUCCUAUCUAUCAGCCCUUCAAACAUGGAUCACAUUUUCCUUUUUGAAUAAUUGUUGAUCCUGCCAUACAUCUAAGCACAUCAAGAUAAGGUAUUGCUUCAACUUAUUUUCUAUUUUGGGAUACAACUGAGGCCGCAUAUCUUCAGCACACAAACUUUGGAAUUACAUGGCCGCAACUUCACACCCCGCCAGUGCUAAGUUGAGGUAGGCCUGCCAUAUUGAAACUCCCCUCCUCAUCUCACAUUCCGAACCAAAGCAAAGGCCAAUCUAGAGUUUCAUCGUGGUUCUAAAUGCGCUCUAUCAGACUUCCAUGGACAGCCGGCAUUCUUGCAAGUUAUGCUUAUCCAAACAGGCCUUGAUGUCCUCAAAUAGUUCAAACUUCUGUCAACGUCAUAAAUCUAAACACAUGUUGCCUCUGAAUUCGACCUUAUUUAUCAACACUGAUUCUUCUUCGGCAAUUCCUUAUACUAUUCAAUCUUUUCAUUGCACUUUCCAGUCCCUGAUGGAAACUUGUGGGAACAUUCUCUGAAGACAUUAAACCUCUAUUCUGUAUAUCUUGUAACAGUUUCUCUCCCUCCUCAACCCUGUUUUCCCUAUAAAAUGCUUCAAUUAGCACAGUGUAUGUCGUUAUAUUAGGCCAAAGCUCCCUUUGUAUUAUUUCUUCGUACAGCUUUAGCGCAUCAGAAACACGACUAGUUUCGCAUAGUCCGGUGAUAAGAACAUUAUAAGUCACGAUAUCUACUUUCAAUCCAUACCGUUCCAUCACAUCCUUCAAGUACAAAGCAUCAUCAAUUUUAGCUUCUUUACAAAGCCCAUGCAUGAGUGUGGUGAAAGUUGCCAUAGUCGGCACCCUUCCUGCCCUAAUUAUGCUACUAAAAACCAAUAUAGCCUCCUCGAUCUUCCCACAUUUACAAAGCCCUCUAACCAUCGAGCUCUCUGCAACUUCAUGCGGCACAAUCCCCAAUGCCUCCAUCUCAUCUUUCAGUCUAAAUGCUCCCCAUACGUCGCCAACCCUAAUUUUCCCAUUAAUUAAUGUGAUGUAAUGAUUGUGCCUUGGAGUAAACCCUUUCUCCAUCAUUUCAUGCAAAACUUCAUAGCUUUGUCGAAAACAAUUUUUUCUAUUUAACCCAUUGAUAAGCGCACUAUAGGCGUCGCUGCUUGGUGACAUUUGUAAAUUUUUCAUACAACUAACAAGCUUUAAAGCAUUAUCCAUCUGGGUUUUCUCACUAUACUCCACGAUAAGCAUAUCAAAGGUCAAGUUAUCAGGAAUAAUUCCAUCGAGCAUCAUCUUCUCCAAAAACUUCACAGCAAUAUCUAUCAUAUUAGACUUACAAAGCCCAAGGAUUAGUGCUUGAUAAGUUAUUCUAUCUGGGAUAAACCCUCUCUGCACUAUACUACUGUACAAUCUGAAUGAUUUCAAGGCCUGUUGGUUUUUGAUGUAACCACGAAUAAGAAUAUUAUAAGUGGCUACAUUUGGAAAUAUACCUUUAUUUUGCAUCAUACGAAUCAUCUUCUCCAUUUCUUGUACCAUACCUGCCUUCGAGUAGCCGUAGAUUAUUCCAUUAAAAGUAAUAGCGUCUGGAUCGAGGCUUUUGUUGCUAAUCAUCUCUUCGAACAAGUAUGACGCAGCCUUUAUUUGGCGUUCUCUUAUCAAUCCAUUUAUUAAACAAGUAUAAGCAACACGAUUAGGAAACAUACCCUUCUCCAACAUCUUGUCAAAGAGCACAAGUGCAGGAACAAUCUUCCCUUUUCUGCAAAAACCGCAUAGAAGAAUAGUAUAACUGUAGAUAUCAGGUGCUAAAUUAUUCUCAAUCAUUUUAUCCAGCAAGGACAAAGCACCAUUCAAGUCCCCAUAUUUACAAACUGCCGCAAGUAGUGUAUUAUAAGUGCGAGUAUCAAUAGCAAAAGGGAUAUUUACAAGUUGGGUCAGAAACUUCUUUGCCUCAGUUAAGUUUCCUCCUUUGCAUAAUCCUUUAAGUAGAUUUGCAUAUGUACAAAUAUCUGGAGAAAGACCCAAUCUAACCAUUUCAUCAUAAAAAGAAAAGCCUUUUAAGGCAUCACCUUUACUACAAUAACCAUCUAUCAUACAGUUGAAGGUAGUGGAGUUUACGGCUAGUUUCAUCCUAAUCAUGUGUUGUAUGAAAUGCUCAGCUUCUUUUAACAUUCCCUUUCUAUAAAGCGUAGAAAGUAAGGUAUUACAGAUAAAUGGACUGACUAAUUGACCAAUUCGCUGCAACUCGACAUAAAACUUCAAUGCUUCGACAAUAUCUCCUUUCUUACAAAAAUGGUAAAUUAGUGUCGAAUACACUAUUUCAUUAGGCAAAACUCCCGUUUUGUACAUCAUCGACAAAAUCUCUUUGGUUUGGUCCGUCUUAUCCACUUUGCACAAACCAUUUAUAAGUGCAGAAUAAGUAAUAACAUCGGGACCGAUGCCGGCCUCAAUCAUAGUGUAGAGAAAUUUCACCGCUUUAUGAAUUUUUCUCUCUCUACAAAACCCGUCAAUCAAAAUUGUGUACAUCACAUGGUUGAUAUUAAAGCCCUUUGAUCUCAACUGUUGCAGAAGUUGCAUUGCAGAGUCCAAUUUUGAAGCCUUGCAAUAGCCGUUUAGUAGAGCACCGUAAGUGAACUCGUUAGUGGUUACGCCCCUAGUUUCCAUCUCAUCCAAAACUCCCAAAGCUUCACUAAUUUUUCCACUUCGAGAAUACCCGUCAAUUAAAGUAUUAUAGGUGACUACACUUGGUCUUACACUGAACUUCAACAUGCCAUCGAAAAUACGAGUAGCAAUAUCCAUCUUGCCUUCUUUAGAAAACCCAUUUAUAAGAGUAUUGUAUGUGCUUUCGGUGGGGCAUACCUUCCUCUCUCUCAUCCUUUUUAGUAACAAAUAAGCUCGAGCGCUUCUCUUCGUCUUACAUAACUUGUCAAUAAUUACAUUAAAUGUAUAUACAUCCGCCUCAACGCCUUUGCUCUCCAUACUAUCUAGUAUCUUCGAAGCGUUUUUGAACCUCCCCUUCUUGCAAUACCAAGAUAGCAUAGUAUUAUAAGUAACAACGUUGAAAGAAAAACCACUCUCUUCCAUCUUCUUGAAGAUAUAACUAGCCUUUCCAUAUUUUCCCUGAGAACAAAGAGAAUUCAAAAUUAUAUUGAAAGUGCUCGCAUUCGGAUUAAUCCUCCUUAUGAGCAUUUGUUCGAAAAACGGCCAAACGGAAUCCAAUUUACCCUCCUUCAUAAGAGCUUUGAGGAUGGAAUUACAAGUGAAAAUCGAAGCUUUGAAUCCUCGAGCACUAAUUAAUUGGAACACCUCCACAGCAAAUCCAAUCAUCCCUUCUUCCACAUAAAUUUUAAUCCAAAAGUCAAAAACCGACUGAUUUGAAUUGCACUGGCGAUAGUUCUCCAUGAGAGAAUGAAAGGUAGAGGUACAUGAACGGCGCAUACGAGAGAGAUGUUUCAAUAUGGACUUUGCCGAAUAGAACAUGCGAGCCCGAAUAAGCAAGUGAAUGGUAAUGCAAUAAGUACAAGUAAUUUGAUCGAAACCGGGUUGACGUUUGAUCUAAUUGAGAAUCCUCAAUGCCAUCCGACUGAGAACCUUUCUUAGUGCCGCCAAAUUGCAGUUCAUGCGAUUCAGCGAUUCCCGUCGACGAAAUGUGAGUAUAUCGCUGAUGCUGUUUUUGAUCUCCUGGACUGUUCCGAAAAGCCACGAACUUGAGAAGAAAUGGCAAAUAAGCAUUUGCAAUAGCACAUGAAAUACUCAUAUUAAUCAAAUUAGUCAUGAACAAGUACAAAGAAACAUUGCUAAUGUUACCAAAAAAAGAGAAGAAGAAAAAAGUCUCAAAAAAUCAUAGAAAGACUACAAGAAACCCAACUUUGCAAAAUAGAAAAUCAGAAAAACAACUGUAAAUAUGUGACAAACUAACUAGAAAAAAGAAAUCAAUCAGCAUAGUCAAUAAAAGCAACAAAACAGGAAACAUGGAUUUGUACGAACACAUAAAUUACUCAUGCUAAUCACUUAAGAACGACGAAAAUUGGAAAUAUUAGGAUUGAAAUCCUCCAGAAUGACAAGUAUAUAUAUAUAUGCCACAAAUUGCAGUAAAGGUAAGAAAUCAACAAGCAUAGUAGAUAAAAAGCAUCAAAAUUAGUGUCAAAAUAAGAAAUUUUAUCAACUUUAGAGGGUAAAUAAAUUGCAUCUCAAAGAAGAAUAAAAGCAAACAGGUUUAUGUGCAAAAGGAAAGGACUACUCAAAUGCAUUACUAUAAAUAAAAAUUGAUAAUAGAUUUCCACCUUGCAGUACAAAAUCAUAGUAACUAGAUAAACAAAGUUAUAAUUUUGAAGGGUAAAAUGUACAGAUAGUCCCGUUAUUAUCCCAAUAUUGCAUUCUCAAUCUUUAUAUUUUUCACUUAAGUACUUUAGCCUUAAAAGAAUUGGACGUAGUUAGAAAUGCAACAGUUGGGGAGAAUAAUUAUAGGGGAAAUUGCAUGUUUGGUCCUCAAACUAUGAGACAAGUGACACUUUGGUCCUCAAACUAUAAUUUAUCACAACUUUUGGCUCGAACUUUUAGAAUUGUUGCAAUCAAGUCCCACAACCUAAUUUAGUUGAAAAUAUUGACGCAUCGUUGAUGUAUUGUCACAUCAUCAAUCACAAUACUUCGACAUCACAUCUACAUCAACAAUUUAUCAAUAUUUAGCAAACAAGAUUAGAUUGUGGGACUCGAUUGCAACAAUUUAAAAAGUUCGUGCCAGAAAGUACAACAAAUUAAAGUUUGAUGACCAAUGUGUAACCGACUCAUAGUAUGAGGACCAAACAUGCAAUUUACCCAUAAUUAUCUCUUAAACAAAAAAUAAUUUUUUUUUACCCUUAUAGAGAUGAUAUCACCAUUCAUAUUGAUCUUCAAAUGCACCUCCCAAUUAUAAGCAAAUAUAUAUAUAUAUAUAUAUAUAUAUAUAUAUAUAUAUAUAUAUAUAUAGUCCGGCUACUGAGUAUGAUCGCCCUCGUACUCAUAAGUUGUUUUUGAUGAUAGAGAUUCCGAAUUGACGAUCCACACCGGUAAACGUUAUCUAGAGCAUUUAAAACUUCUAGAAAUCAAAUUUUAUAAUUUUUCAACAUCAUUUACCUUACGAUCAAAAGGUCACAAAAUUGACAAUUUUUAACGACCGGUAUGGGAUAUUUGCUAGUUUAACAGUGUAAAAAAAUCGGAAUUGGUUGAAUUUUUGAUAGAAAAUUCUAUUCACUACCUAGAUAAAGAUCAAUAACUCCGAUCUUAAAUUGAAGGAUCUGAUCAUCCAUUUUUAGGACGUCGUUCGAUUUCGACCGUUCAUUUUAUACCCACUUGAUGGACUUUAUUAUGAUUUCGAAAAAUUACGAAAUUUAUUUUCUAGAAAUUUCAAAUACUCUAGAUCAUAUUUAAUGGAGUGGAUCGUCGAUUCAGAAGCUCCAUCAUCGAAAACAACUUAUGAGUACGAAGGACCCUAUACUCAUAAGAGUAUAGUAGCCCUACUUUAUAUAUAUAUAUAUAUAUAUUUGUGACAUUUUCAAAUCAAUACUACAAAAUAAACAAAAUACAAAUGUGGCUGCAGCAUUUCCAAACUACAUGCAUCUCUAACUACAUUAUAUUUAUAACU
rnacentral:lncRNA from 1 species